rnacentral:lncRNA from 1 species
GUUCCCCUUGAGAUGGGGUGGCUCUGAGUUGCUCGGAGCGAACCUAGGUUUUCCUCUUGGCGGCAUCGUUCUUCAUUAGGCGUAGAUCGUGUGUGGGCGGAGGGAGGCUCCUUGACGGUGUGUAGCAGUCAAAUGCGCUCUCUUUAAAUCAUGUUUUUUAUUUAUUUAUUUUUUUAUUUUUUAUUUUUAUAAUUUUUUUUAUGGAGAUAGGGCUACGGUGGGUCUGAUCGGUGGAUCAUGGCUGGUCGAUGGCGAAGGAAAGGUAAGGGUGGCAGCUAUUGCGGUUUGCGGAGCUGGCCGGUGGUCGUGGUUGGCAAUCUAAACCGGGGUGAUUGGACUUUGGUGGUGCCUAACUAGGAGAUACAAGAUCAGCACAUGGGCUUCUCUGGUUGAGAUGGUUGUUAGAGUCAUGGUCGCUGGCUUCAACUGGGACAAAGCAACUGACCGUCAUUGGGCUUGGGAGGCAACGGUGGUCAGUUGGUUUAGAUUUUGAUAGGGCCAGGUCAUAUCCGAUGAUGGCUUUCCUGGAGGGCAACAUCGGUUGUAAGAAGACAAUGGUAGAGAGGUUUGCGUCUGCCAUCCUUGUGUGAGCUUUGGCUUGGAUUUUUUUUUGGCUUCGGUCAAAGUUGGGCUGGCAGGGCAGAUCAAUAAGCCCUAUGCAGUUUUCGCUUGGGCUUGUUUGGGCUCAGGUCAAGGAAUAAGAGGUUCUAGGUUGGGAUAAGCCUAUGUUAGAUGAUCAUAUCUCUAUGAGUCUUUUGUUUGCUUGUACCACAAUUACAUGAUUGUCAAGUGAUGAUUAGGCGUGACUAAACCGUAGAAGGUGAGGUUGUUCGUAAAUGUUUGCUUAAUUGUAAGCAUAUAUGUUGCUUAUUAGGUUUUGGUAUAUCUGAUCUCUCUUGUAAGCAGAUAGACUAUAGCUUUUUGACUAUUGAUUUUAUGAAAUGAAUCUAUUUUUCAAGAAAAAAAAAUUACACAGAAGAUUGUUCUCUAUUUGACGUAUUAUUUUUGUGUUGAUUAUGUCAACACUUCUACCGCUUAUUUAAUUGUUUAAUUGCAUCUUUUAAAUUGAUUCCUAUGUUUUACUUUGGAUUCCCCUAGCUUGACUGUGUUUCAAACCCCACGAAAAAAGAGAAGAACAAAAAAAGUUAAACAUGCUCGAUUUGAUUGUUUUUUAAAUAUUUAAGGUCAAGAAAAAUGAAAUAUACACCCUAGGGGCCUACGCGCACCUUUAAGUGUGUAUCUCGCAUUCUACUGCCUCCCACACCAUACCUCAUCUUCUAUCACUGUUUUCACCUCCUGAUAUCACCAUUUUUCAGCUUUUCUCAUCCCAUGGCCUUUAUCGAUGCCAUCACAGCCAGUUUUACUACCCUCUAUGGCUCUUGCCGACAGAGGCAAAGCCCUGAUCUCAGAAAAAGAUUGGAGGAGGUCCUAUCAAGAAAUCCAACACUAUUUUCCUUGUUGGAAAACCUCUAACACGCCGCCCUGUGGACCCGGCUAUCUUCAAGUCCACUUUCUCCGGACUUGGAUGGUGUUUCGUCUUUUUAGGGUUCAGGAGAGGGCUGAAAACCUCUUCUUCUUCUCCUUUGACUCCAUCCGUGACUGAAUAAGGUGCUUCGAGGAGGAGUCUGGUGCUUUGAUCAUGCACCGGUGGCCUUGGAACUGUAUGAUGGAAUCUGACCUUUGAUCAGGUUCCCAUGAGGCAUGUUUUGAUGUGGGUUAGGGUUUCUACAAUCUCUCCCCGUUAUGAAGUCCCAAAGAACUUCAAAUUGAUUGGCAAUCUACUGGGAGGCUACAUCGAUUAUGACAAGACUGAAUUCAAGAAAGGUGUAGUCUGCAUUCUCACUACAGGAAAUAUCAACUUAGCUGACGGAAUUAUAUUAAUUCCGUCGGCUAAGUGACUCCUCACCGACGGAAGAAGAACUGUCAUCUAGGACACCACAUCCGUCGUCUAAGAUAUCUUAGGCAACGGAAAAUAACCGUACACGUCUUCCGUUGACUAGGGUUUUCCUAAACGACGAAACACCAUUCGUCGUCUAGCUUCCGUCGGCUUAGUAAACCCUAGGCGACGAACACCUUCCAUCGGUAUGAUUUCGUCGGCGUAGAUCUUCUUAAGUGACGGAAAUGGACUGUCGAAAUAUCCCGUCGUCUAACAUUUUCUAGGGCGACGAAUAUUGUUCCAUCGGUAUAUCUAUUUUAGACGACGAAUAAUAUUCCGUCGUUUGAAAUUUUCUUGGGCGACGAAGACGUUUCCGUCGGUUAAGAUCGACUUGGGAGACAAAUAUUGUCACAUCCCGACCCUUAAAUUUUUACCUUAUUUACUAGCUUGAUAUUAAUAAGAAUUUUACCGUUUCUGUCAAUGAGUUAUGGUUUAAUUGGUCCCUAGAGGGGUUUUGGGGGACAACUAUUUCGGUGGAAUUAUUCGUAGGAGAAAAAUGUGGCGACUGUAAAAAUGGUAAAUUUUAGCUAAUAAAAGGUAAUUUUUAUUAAGGUAUUAUUUUGUGGUGUUAUUUUUUGGAAUUGGGUUGGUAUGUAGUUGGGGUAGGGGACCGGUUGGGAGGCCCAAUCCCCUCCCUCUCUUUUUCUUUCUUUUUCUCUUCUCUCCUCUUCCCCGACUCUCUCCCGCUGCCGGAUUUCUUCUCGGCCGUCCGCCGCCGUCCAGCCACCGUAGGCCGCCGCUCCGGUUCCGAUCGGUCAGCCCUCGACCCAGCUUCCCUCUUGGACCGGUGAGAGCUCCCCUAGCGCCGCCGUGAGAGAGAGUUACCGCCCGAAACCUCUGGCUGUCCAAAGCUCUCCAUCGCCGGAACUUCCUCCUCCGGCCACCAAUCCCUUACAUGGUUUUGAAGGCCUUCAACCCAGUUGUCUUGCCCUAAGAGGACUCGGUCCAGUUUGCUUUAGGUGAGGAGAAACGGUGAGUGGAAGCUCUAGGGCUUUUUAUGAUGUUUUUGUUUGAUUGGCAUAGUUAGGCUUGGAAUUGGGUGUUGUGCUAGUUAAGAAAGUUGUAGGGUGAGUUGAGAGGAAGAUGCUGUCAAAUUUUGGUAGGCAUUGGAGGUCGCCGGAGUCGGCUUCCGGCUGCCGCUGUUUGAGAGAUUUUUAUGGUUUUAAAUGUGGAAUAUUAAAGGGAGUUUAUUGAUGUGAAUUAUGGAAUUUUUGGAUGAGUUUUGGUCGGGUUUGUGAAUUUCCGAAGUUUGGUAUUUUUGGCAGUUAAUUAAUGUAGAAUUCGGCCGUAGGAUUUAAGUCGUUGUUCUGGGGAGGUUGUAUUUACGGCUGCCGUUUAUGGUAUUAAAGUUUAGAUCGUUUCGAUUUAAGAAUAUCGAAGUUAGACGAGAAUGUGCGUGGUUACGACUCAUGUUUAAUUUGCCUAUUUUUGAGUAAGUAAUGGAUUUUUGGUUGGUAAUUUUAAUUAUUAUAUUUGGAACAGGACGUGAGAAGGCUCAAGCAGAAGAGACCUCAGAUUGACGUCAGGCUUAGGCCUAAAGUUGUGAGUGGACUUUUGUUUUAAAUAAUAUGCAUGCUAUGGUUCAUGGAUGAACAAUUAAUGUUGUUAGAGCAUUUUGACGUCAUUUUAUUUUUCUUGGAGAAUUACCGAAAAAUGAGAUUUUUCGAUGAGUAUAAGUAUGUAUAUUGAGGAGAGUAUGUAUAUAAAUGCUAGCUAGCCAUAUGUGUCUGUCCACCUUAAUGGCGUAGCAUACAGCCGUAUUAUGGUGUGACAUGAGCAUUGGACGUGAGCGUAGUAGCCCUAUAUGAGUGUUUAAUUCAUAUAAGGGGUAUGGACACAUAUUUAUACACCGGUCUGUCCACUUUAAUGGCAUAGUGUAGCACCGCAUUAAGGCGUGAAGUGGGCGUAGUAGCCCUAUAUAGACCCAUGAAUUUAUAUAGGGAGUAUGGACGUGUGUAAAUACAUACAUAUAUUAUAGAGCCUGAGAGGCUCGAUAUUUUUAUGAGAUAAAAGUUUUAUCGCUUGCGGCAUGCAUUUGAUUUUUCCUUGGAAAUUGAUUUGGGGAAACAUAAAUAUUUUAUUUAUUAAUUUAUUUUUGUCCACUCACUCUAACGUGUUUCAAAUGUUUUCCCCUGGGCCCUUUGUUUUAAAAUGCCCAGUUUGCAGGAUUGCAUAGUUGAGGUCGGGCGUACAUAGAGAUGAGGCAUAGUCAUCAUAUAGCUUCCGCUUGUUAAUUUAUUAUGUUUCCUUUCUUCUUGUUAGAGUUGCUCUAAACCUAUAAAUGGUUGGAUAUGAGAUUUGUUUAGAUUAGUAAAUAAUUUGGGUGGUGUUGUGAUUUGGGGAGCACGAAGGCUCCAGGAGUUUAAGGUUGGAUUUAAAUUUUCAAAAGUGUUUGCAUGUAUUAUUAAGAAAGGUUGUCCAUUUUCAAUGGAGGUUAUGCCGAAUUUUUAGUAAACUUUCCUUGGAGGUGGUCCCCGCAGGAUUUACUUCGGGUUUCAGGGUGAAAUUCGGGGUGGGUCCUGACAAAUAUUCUUUUCUUCGGCGACGAACUUUUCCAUCGCCUAAGAUUUUGAAUUAUUGCCUGACACAAAGCAGGACGAAUAUUUUUUCCGAAGCCUUUUUUCUUAGGCGACGGAAUAUUCUGUCGGCUAAGUUUACACAUCAUCCAUUUAUACACCUUUCGCCCAAAAGAGAACACAGAAGAAAGGCAUGGUCUAGCUCCCCUCCCCCUCAUUGGAAUAUUCAUUCGAUCCAAAUCUAGUUUUGGAAGCUUUUCUUCAUGAAGUUGAUCGAUCUUUAAGAUCUGCGCGCCUCGAUCUCGAUCUCUUAGGUAGUUGGUAUAUAUGUAACUACUUUAAUUAAUUUACCUACUUUCUUCUUUUAGGCAUAUUUUCCUGUGAACUUUCGGCUACUUGCCGGUCCAAUUUUGAUGGAUUGUUGCUUACUUGUAUGCUUAAUAUAAUUACUGGAUAUGUGUGUAUAAUAUGUUUGUACGUACGUAUAAUAUUAUAUAUGCAUGAAAACUAUAUAGUAUUAUGUUUGUAUAUAUAUCUAACUUUUGUGUGUAUAAUUUUUAAAGAUAUAGAUAUAUCUUUAGCUUUUGUAUAUAUGAUUAAUGAUUAUCUGAAUAAUAUGUUUAUCAAAUUUUUGUUUUCAUUCAAAUCGAAUUGUGUAUUAUUAUCAUCAUAUGAUUAAAAAUAAAAUGAUGAAUCAUGUAAUUAAGAAUUUUAAUAUUCUUAUACAUUCAUCAAUAUAUAUUGUUACCCUUAGAAAUCCCGUUCGAGAACCAUUAUGUUACGACUGUGUCUAACAAAAUGGUUUUCGACUUGUCACACCCCGGUUCUCAAGUUAUUUUACGGUUAUUUACUUUAGUAUUAUUUUGGUCUUUUACCGUGUUGAGUAGCCGUUUACUACUUAAGGACCCUAAAGUUGACUUUCUAUUCCUUUUGGAAUUUGAGAAAACUUUCUUCAUGAAAGUCGUAGAGGAUGUUUUUACGAGUUCGUAGACAUGCUAUGUGUUAAAAUCGGAGUUCGCAUGAAAAAGUUAUGAAUUAAGAGAGUAAAUUUUUGAGAUGGUAAAACGGGGUAAAUGAUAAUGGAUAUUAUUUUUUUGGUUGGGUUUUAUAGCUGGGCCGGUUGUGGAGCAGCCCAAAACCCCUCCCUUUAUUUCCUCUCUCUCCCUCUUCCUUCUCUCUCUUUCUCCUGUGAGUUUCCGUCGAUCCCCACUCCGUUGGAAGUCAGCUGUCGCCAUCCGGCCAACCACCAGCUGCCAGCCCACCCCAGUUCUGACCCCCAUCACCUCCUCUCUCUCCCCGGCCUAGUGCCUGAGCCUCUAACCCACCGGAGAGGAGGAAAACCCGCUGGAGACGCCGAGAAGCUUUUCGCCGGAAAUCCCACCUCCGGCCGCCAUAGGUCGAAAUCUUUGGCUCAUCUUCUAGCCCUCAUCAAGGUGAGUAAUCCCUCAAAAGGAAUUAGUCUAUUUCGUUGUUGUUAUGGAGAAAUGUAUAAUUAGAAGUUUUAGGAAUUUAUGGAAGUUUUGGUUCAAUUACCCUAGUUAGGCUCAGAAAUGGACUAAGUGCUAGUUAUGAAUGUUGUUGAGCAUGAUGAGAGGAAUAUUCUGUGAAAAUUUGAGAAGCAUUGGCCCUCGCCGGAAUCAGGCUGCCGGCCGCCGCCGCCCCUUAGGGGCAGUUUUUCAUGUUUUUGGGUUUAUUUUCAUGAGAGGAGUUUAAUGAAGUAUAGUUUGGAAUUUUUGGAGGAGAUUUGAUAAGGUUUAGGAUUUAUCUCUAAUUAAGGAUUUAGGCGGUUAGUCAAAUGGAAAUCCGGCAGUUAAUUUAGCAGAUUUUAAAGUCUAAAAAGGUUAAAUUAUGGCUUUCGGUAAAUGCGGAGUAGUGUGAGCCUUAUUAAGUAAUAAGUGGAGAAGUUGGGCAAGAGAAAUGAAAAUUAUAGGUUUCCUCUUUCUUUUGGAAAUUUUAUUAAAGUUGACACGACCCACCCCGAAUUUCACCCUGAAACUCGGAGUAAGUCGUGCGGGGACCACCUCCAAGGAAAAUUUACUGAAAAGAUUAAGAAAAUCUCCCUUGCAGAUGGACAACCCUAACUCGAAAAUUUCAUAUUACACUCUUCAUUCAACACUUCCGAACAUCACAUAAUUAUCCUUCAGAAAUUCUACACAUAAUAUACAAUAAUCCCAAAGUAUUCAGAGCUACUAAACACAAGCGGAAGUAAGAAAACACGGGUAGGUUGAACAGGUAACCUACUGACGAAAACUGGCAGAAAUGCGGGUGACUAUGCCUCGUCUCCUACUAGAUCCAACCCGAACUCUGCAGACUGGGCAAUUUAAAACGAAGGGCCAGGGAAAACAUUUAAUAACGUUAGAGUGAGUGAACAAAAAUAAAAUAAUAAAUAAAAUAUUUAUGUUUCCCCAAAUUAAUUUCUAAGGAAAAAUCGAAUGCAUGCCGCAAACGAUAAAACUUUUAUCCCAUAAAUAUCGAGCCUCUCAGACUCUAUAAUAUAUGUAUGUAUUUACACUCGUCCAUACUCCCUAUAUAAAUUCAUGGGUCUAUAUAGGGCUACUACGCUCGCGUCCAACGCUCACGUCACGCCUUAAUGCGGUGCUACAUUACGCCAUUAAGGUGGACAGACGGGUGUAUAAAUAUGUGUCCAUACCCCCUAUAUGAAUUAAACACUCAAAUAGGGCUACUACGCUUACGUCCAACGCUCACGUCACACCAUAAUGCGGCUAUAUGCUACGCCAUUAAGGUGGACAGACACAUAAGGCUAGCUAGUAUUUAUAUACAUACUCUCUCAUAAAUACAUAUUUAUAUCCACCGAAAAUCCCAUUUUCGGUAUCUCUCCAAGAGAAAUAAAAAUCGUCAAAAAUUAAAAUGACGUCAAAAUACUCCACGACAUUAAUUGUUCAACCAUGAACUAUAGCAUGCAUUUAUUUAAAAUAAACGUCCACUCACAAAUUUGGCCUAAGCCUGAUGUCGAUCUGGGGCCUCGUCUGCUCGAGCCUCCUCAUGUCCUGUUCCAAAUAUAAUAUUAAUUUCCCAACCAAUAAUCCAAUAUUUAAUCAAAAUAGGCAAAAUUACCCGAGAGCCAUAAAUACGCUCAUCAUUGCCUAACUUCGAUAUUCUUAAAUCGGAACGAUCCGAACUUAAAUAUCAUACUCAACAGUCAUAAAUACAACCUCCCCAAAAUACGACUUAAAUCCUACGGCCGGAUUCUACAUUAAUUAACCGCAAAAAAUCGAAACUUCGGAAAUUCACAAAUCUAUCCAAAUCUCGUCCAAAAAUUCCAUAAAUCACAUCAAUAUACUCCUCUUAAUAUUCCACACUUAAAACCCUAAAAAUCUCCUAACCGGCGGCUCCGCCGGCAGCGGCGGCCGGAGGCCCAUUCCGGCGACCUCCAAAACCUAUGAAAUUUUGACAGAAUAAUCCUCUCAUCAAGCUCUACAACUUUCCUAACUAGCACAAACACCAAUUCCAAGCCUAACUAGGGUAAUCGACUAAAAACAUAAAAAAACGCCAUAAAACUUCCACCUCAAAUUUCUCCUUACCUAGUUCAAGAGGGAGUGAGUCCUUUUAGGGCAAGGCUGCUGGGUUGGAGGGCUACAAAACCGUACCAAGCUUGCCCGGAUUGGUGGCCGGAGGAGGGAGUUCCGGCGAAAUGCUUCCCGGCGUUUCCGGCGGGUUUUCUCCUCUUCCGGCGGGUUAGAGGCUCGGGGGCUAGGCCGGGGAGGGAGAGGAAGAGAUGGGGGGUCCGAACUGGGGUGGAGCGGCGGCCGGUGGCUGGCCGGACGGCGGCAGCUGGCGGCUGGAUAGUCCGGCAGUGGGAGGAAGAAAACUCGGGGGAGGGAAGGAGAAAACGGGAGAGAGGGAGAAGAGAAAAAGAGGGAGAUGGGUUUGGGCCUCUCCAAACCGGUCCACCCUUAUCAACCCAACUCAAAAAAAAUAAAAACACCCCGAAAAAAAUAAUACCCGAAUAAAAAUUACCUUUUACUAGCUAAAAUUUACCAUUUUUACCGUCGUCGUAUUUUCCUCAUACGAAUAAUCCUCCGCACAUAAUCGUCCCCGAAACCCCUCUAGGGGCCAAUUAAACUAUUUACUCAAUGAUCGCGACGGUAAAAUUCUUAUUAUAAUCACUCUAGUAAAUAAGGUAAAAAUAUAAGGGUCGGGAUGUAACAAAAGUUGUAUCCUAGUAUGGAGGUUUAAUGAUUAUUUAUUGUUCAGGACGUGAGGAGGAUCAUUUGGAGGAAGCCUCUGGCCGUCGGCAAGCAUAGCCGAGCGUUGUGAGUGGACCUUUGAUUUUAAUAUCUUGCAUGCGCUAAAUUUAUCUAAUUUCAAAGGCAUUUGGAGAUUUAAUAUUUGGUUGGAUUAUAGAGUUCCAUAUAUUUUUCCGGAACUCUCUUGCUAAGUUUAGUUGACACAUGGGACGUGUCAAGUGAUAUUUUUUAUUUCCAAGUACAGUUGGGAACUGUACUGUGCGCUAUGAGUUUAUUAUAAUAUUUGGGGAAGUGUUGAUCAUUUUAUUUUAAUAUGGUACUUCACCAUAAAAAGGGUUGAUUCAUAUUAAUCAUUGUUAGCUAACUUUAUUAGCGGUCAUUAUCAUAUUUGAGUUGCUAUACAGUCUUAUUAGCGGUUUUCAUCAUAUGUGAGUUGAGCGCUUAACGUGGGACGCUAUUAUAGCCUAGGAGGUAAUCGAUCGGUAUAUAUAUAUAUAUAUAUUUAUUGUUAGCUAGCCAUUAUUUAGCGGUCCUCAUCAUAUGAGAGUUGAGCGCUUAGCGUGGGACGCUAUUAUAAUAUUAUCAGCGGUCCUCAUCAUAUGUGAGUAGAGCGCUUAGCGUGGGACAGCGUGGGACGCUAAUAUAGCCUGGGAGGCUCAUUUUUAUGGUGAAAUUUAUUCCCCAUUGUUUUCUAUUGAUUUAUUGGGAACAUAUGGGAUUUGUUCAUUAUUCUUGUCUAUAAUUAUUUUCGGUUAAAUUUCCAAGAAUGGCAUGUAUAAAUAUUUUCUUAAUGGAAAAUAUGGGAAAAGAAUUAAAUUGAUUUCAAUGCUCUAUCAUUAAGUCCGUAUUUUUAUUAUUUAUUUUGUCCACUCACUCUAACGUUUUAAAUGCUUUCCCCUGGGCCUUUCAGUUUUAAAUGCCCAGUCUGUAGAGCUCUGUUCGGUGAGAGUAGGAGGCGUGUCAUAUUUCCCACCUCAUCCAGUUUUCUCUCAUAGGUUACUAGUUAACCUAUCUAUGUAUUUCCUUCUUUCCUAGUAGAUGCUUUGAAUAACCUUGGGAUGUUUUAAGUGUGGUUGUUGUUGUUAUUGUGGUGUGUUAAGAGCUUGUGACUCCACCUAGGAGUGUUGAAAAGUGUUUAUUUGGCAUGUUAUAUGAGAGAUUAAAUUCAUGAAAUUAUUUCUAUUUAUUAUGUUAGUUGAGGUGGUGGAUGUUUAUUUGGGGGAGCGGAUGGCUCCAGAAGAUGUGGAUUAAAUUGUUUUAGAAGUGUUUGGGCUUUGGUAAUUUUUCUUCCAGGUAGGGUUACACAUUUUCAAGGGAGGUUAUGCCAAAAUUUUGGUAGAAUUUCCCUUGAGGUGGGUCCCGCAGGGUUUAUUCCGGAUUUCAAGGGGAAAUCCGGGGUAGGUCCUGACACGAAUUGUCCCAUAUUUGGACAGUUUGGGAGCAUAUAUAUGACAUUGAGAUUCUGUUUGUUGUUGGUGCGUUUCAUUUUCGGUUAUGGGUAUAUAUAUUUCGACAAAAUCUUCCUUUAAUUAUUGUUCCUCGAGUGCAUUCUAGGUAUAGAUAUUUGUGCACUUGGGGAACUGUAGGGAGAUGCUGCCGAAAUUUUCUCACAUAUGCGAAUUUGAAACGCCUUAACAACAAACGAAAUCAAAUGUCAUAUGCUCUCAAACGGGAUUAGGGCCCUAACCGGAGGUAUAAGAUGAAGAAUAUUAUUGGGGUAUUAAUUAAACUCUCAAGUAUGGAAAAUGAUUGGAAAAUUACGCUCAUAUAUAUGUAAAGUAUGAAAAAUUAUUGGGGGUCAGUAAUUUUCUGUAUUUCUUGAUACAUGCAACACAUCCGCCUUCCUUUAUUUUCUUCCAGUUUGAUACUUGGAUGUUUGUUUUACUCUUUUCCAGGUCUUUUCUUUUAUCUGGAAUGCUUCCAGCUUUUGUUAUGCUCAUAUGUUUGAAGUGUGGAAAAUUAUUGGGGGUCAGUAAUUUUCCCGAACAGAGUAACCAAAGUUUCUGGAUGAUUGUUAUUACUUAGAUUCUUUUCAACCAUCCUCUAAUGAUAUAAUAGGGUAGUAAACUCUCAAGCAUGAAACAUUAUUGGGGGUCAGUAAUUUUCCUGAACAGAGCAACCAAAGUUUACUGACCCCCAAUAACCACCCUGUAACAAAAAAAAAACUGAAACUAACAACCAAAGAUAAAUGAAACUGACAGAAAGAUCAAAGGAAUAGACCAAAAUUAAUAAAAGAACAAGUUCUUUUACUGAAAUUCAAGAUCAUUCAUAUGUUCUUGCAACACUACCAAAAUACUACAUAUUUUCACAUUUUGAAGAUCCUACAUCUAAAGUGACACUAAUCUUUUUGUUAUAUUGAUGUCCAUGAACUUUAGCAGGAUCUUCUUCCUCAUUUCAUUACCACCAUCUUUUAUCGGUUUUUCCUUAUGACAUAGGCUCUCUAUAAAGUGGAGCAAAAAUGGUCCACAGUCUGACCUACAAUGUAUUAAGAAACAGUGUUACUAAAUUUUUCACCCCAAUAAAACAGACAAGUAAUUUCUAACCCCAAUAAAACUCUUUAAAGGAAGUUUAAAGGUAGUCACGAUGUUUUCUUUUGCUCCGGGAAGGAUAAGAUAUCCUUUAGCUUGUAUCUUGCUUGAUAAACAUUUUGGUCCAGCAUCCAUCUUCUUGUUCUUUUCUCUUCAGCACUCAUCAUCGAGUAACCGUCAACCACUAUUCCUUGGCUUUCCUGCUUGUCAUAGUUUUCCCUCCAUUCCUCAGGGUCCAAGCCUUGGAUGAAAGGGUAUUUGGUGGAAUCAUAUACGCGUUUGAUGAACACCAUAAUGUGCUUCACUGUUGGUUCCAACACACAAGUAAAUUACAACUCAAACAAACUAAGAGAACAAGCAACAAACAAAAAACAGGGUAAGAAAUUUACUGCCCCCCAGUAAACUUCUUACCCUAAUAAAUCAGUUACAACUCACCACUGCCAUUGCAUUCUGAAAGUGGUUAUUGGUGUCGGCAGAGUAAUCUUUCCUUGGCGGUAGCAUUGAGUUCAGGUGAUAGAAGCAUCGAGCUUCAUUGUCAAUCAAGACCAAGGUAUAGUGGUGGCUGACCCCGUGAUGUACCGGAAUGAAAACCAGGUCCUUACUGAAGAUGGACCACAGAGGAUUAAUAAUGGAAAGCUCUAUAUCCAAUUCAUUAUAUUUGAAUUCCCCCUGUUUUCCUCCUCCAGCUAAGAACUCCUUCAGUUUUUUUUCAUGUACCACCGCUGUGCGCUAUAUUUAUAAAAGCAAGUAGUAAGAUUGUGUUAACUGAAAAAAAGUAACGGAGGAGACCGCGGUGCUGCGACACGCCGCUAUUUCAGGUUAGACUACUUACCGCUACCUCUAUGUCUAGGAAUCCGACCGAGACCUUCUUCUUUUCCAUUUCCUCCUUCAACAUUGCGAGGUACACCCUGAUGGUCUGCAUGUACAACAUAUAUAAGUCACAAAUAAUUACAACAAAUAAUACAUCUUAGGUUACUCAAACAUCAACUUUAUUGCGGUUAGUAAGACCAGUAAUUUUUUCUCACAUUAGAUGUAAUCUCUCAUUCUUGAAUUAUUCUCUUCAAGUCAUCUUUGGUAAUGUCAAUGAUACCAUUACAACACUCCCAAUACCGGAAACUGUGCAGACACAAAAAAGUCAUAAGCAAGUCAAACCAGGGAAAUAAUUGUAAUGUUAUAUAUAUAUAUAUACACACACACACACUAGGGAAGAAUAAACUUACUCAUCAUUCUCGUCCUUGUUCAAAUCAAACCAGUUCUUAUAGUUAUUCGCCACCUUUUCAUCCAAGAGCUUCCAUGUAUCAGUGUUGCAGUUCACUCCAUCAAUAACAAUAUGAUUUUGGACUUUAUGCUCCACCUCCUUUGUUCUUUUUCCUGGCUUUAGCUCUUCAGGGGUGUCAUACUCCCAUUCUUCUUAUAUCCUCUUUUGUGCCCCACGCUUCUUCAGGUUGACGUCUCUUUUAAUUAAACCAGUCUCAACAGUUUGUUUUGAGCUCUUCUGCUUGACAUGUUUCUUGAGCCCUCUUGCUUGCUGUUCUUUAUUCUUCAAGCUGGUUUCUUCAUUCAUUUUUUUUUCGGCCAUUUCCACAGCUUGACAUCGGUUGUCACAGGUUCAUCGUCUUCUGGAAAUAUUUUUCGCAACGAAACUGAUUCUGCUACUUGUUCAAAAAACUACACAAAAGAAAACACACAAGUUAUCCUAAAAAAAAUGAAGAAAACACAAUAUUUAUUGGGGGUCAGUAAAUGGAUUUUUACUCUUAUCUCUUUAGUUCCUGGUUCCUCCUCUCUGCACUUAUAUUCUUCCACUUCAACCGGCUUUGACCUAUCCUCCUCCUGCUCCUUCUCCUCAGUUACACAUAUUAUCUGCUUUGUCUGAGCAUGUUUUGCCCCCUUGUGCAACUGUUUCUUGAGAUCAUUGAUUUCAUUUUUGUGUGCCCUCCUUUCUUUCUCUAGCUCAAUGAUUUGCCUGUCCGCUUUCUUUAACUUGCCGGGCAAUUCAGUGUUUCUGUUCACCAGUUCUUCAUUUGCUUUGGCAAGUUCUGUCAGCUUCUUCUUCAUAUCUUCCAUCGGCAGCUCCUGUACACGUUAUAACAACGAAAUCGUUACUGUUAAACAAUUAUAUACAAAUAAACAACUUUACUGCCCCCCAGUAAACUUCUACUGGGGGUCAGUAAACAACAAUACAUUAUCUCCCUUUCUAUUUCAUGACAAUUACACACUUAAUAUACCCUAAUAAACAACUUUAUUGCCCCCUAGUAAACCCAGUAUAAGUUUACUGCCCCUCAGUAAACUUCUACUAGGGGUCAGUAAACAACAAUACAUUAUCUCCCUUUUUAUUUCAUGACAAUUACACACUUAAUAUACCCUAAUAAACAACUUUAUUGCCCCAUAGUAAACCCAGUAUAAGUUUAUUGCCCCCCAGUAAACUUCUACUGGAGGUCAGUAAACUUGCAAUUGAAGUUCCAUUUUCAUUGCCAAUAGUUUUACUGGGUGUUAGUAACCAUUCAAACUUACCCAAUCAAUUGUCCUUGGUGUUCUAUUGUCAUCUUGCUGCUGCUCAUCAUUGCCGGAACUCGUUUCCUCCUCAUCCAUCCAUAGACCUUCUAUUAUGAGUUUCUGUUUUUACAUUUAUACGACACAAAUCAGUUUACUUCAGUUUUUCAAAAAACAAAAAAUACAAUGCAAUAUUUAUUUUUUUUAAAAAAAUGGCUAUAUAAAUAAAAUACCAUUACCUCUAGCAAUUCAGGUCUUCUCAAAUACUCCUUUUCUUUGAUGAUCUCUUGUAUUGACCAUCUUAUAAAUCUGGGAGUCUCCUUCUCUUUCCCGAUAAUCCGCUUCUUUAUUUUUGUUUUCUCAAAGAACCAGUAUAGAACCAGAAGGAGGCAUCCGUUCAAAAUUCUUGGCACCCCCCUUACGUGCUUGUGAAGUCCUUGGUGCAAGAAUUCUAAUACCUUAUGUGACCAGUUGUAUUUGUCGAUGCCUUCAAGGUCUUCACACUUGAGUAUCAGUUUCCAUUCAAUGUGGUUCCCGCUUCUGCUGAAAAAUAAAGCUGCCAUAAGGUACAUUAUAACCAAAGAGGCUAUCUUCCUUGGAUCCCCCUUGUUCUUCUGAAUCUUCCUAAGCUCUUCCAUUAAUGUGUCAUCAAUAACCUUUCUGGUGAUUGUUCUUUUUGUUUGCUUUCCAAAGACAGCAUAAUCUGCCAAAUUCUUCUUACUGCCCUUGCAGUAUUUCUGGUCUAUUGUGAUAUCCACAUCCGAGCCUUCUUUGGUUAUUCCAAAAAUUGAAUGAACAUCAUGCUCCGUAAUUUUAAUCUCCCGGUUCCCAAAUAUGAUGACACGACCCACCCCGAAUUUCACCCUGAAACCCGGAGUAAGUCGUGCGGGGACCACCUCCAAGGAAAAUUUACUGAAAAGAUUAAGAAAAUCUCCCUUGCAGAUGGACAACCCUAACUCGAAAAUUCCAAAUUACACUCUUAAUUCAACACGUCCAAACAUCACAUAAUUAUCCUUCAGAAAUUCUACACAUAAUAUACAAUAAUCCCAAAGUAUUCAGAGCUACUAAACACUAGCGGAAGCAAGAAAAUACGAGUAGGUUGAACAGGUAACCUACUCACGAAAACUGGCAGAAAUGCGGGUGACUAUGCCUCGCCUCCUACUAGAUCCAACCCGAACUCUGCAGACUGGGCAAUUUAAAACGUAGGGCCCAGGGGAAAACAUUUAAUAAUGUUAGAGUGAGUGGACAAAAAUAAAAUAAUAAAUAAAAUAUUUAUGUUUCCCCAAAUUAAUUUCUAAGGAAAAAUCGAAUGCAUGCCGCAAGCGAUAAAACUUUUAUCUCAUAAAAUAUCGAGCCUCUCAGACUCUAUAAUAUAUGUAUCUAUUUACACUUGUCCAUACUCCCUAUAUAAAUUCAUAGGUCUAUAUAGCGCUACUACGCUCGCGUCCAACGCUCACGUCACGCCUUAAUGCGGUGCUACACUACGCCAUCAAGGUGGACAGACGGGUGUAUAAAUAUGUGUCCAUACCCCCUAUAUGAAUUAAACACUCAAAUAGGGCUACUACGCUCACGUCACACCAUAAUGCGGCUAUAUGCUACGCCAUUAAGGUGAACAGACACAUAUGGCUAGCUAGCAUUUAUAUACAUACUCUCUCAUAAAUACAUAUUUAUAUCCACCGAAAAUCCCAUUUUCGGUAACUCUCCAAGAGAAAUAAAAAUCGUCAAAUUAAAAUGACGUUAAAAUAUUCUGCAACAUUAAUUGUUCAACCAUGAACUAUAGCAUGCAUUUAUUUAAAAUAAACGUCCACUCACAAAUUAGGCCUAAGCCUGAUGUCGAUCUGGGGCCUCGUCUGCUCGAGCCUCCUCACGUCCUGUUCCAAAUAUAAUAUUAAUUUCCCAACCAAUAAUCCAAUAUUUAAUCAAAAUAGGCAAAAUUACCCGAGAGCCAUAAAUACGCUCAUCAUUGCCUAACUUCGAUAUUCUUAAAUCGGAACGAUCCGAACUUAAAUAUCAUACUCAACAGUCAUAAAUACAACCUCCCCAAAAUACGACUUAAAUCCUACGGCCGGAUUCUACCUUAAUUAACCGCUAAAAAUACCAAACUUCAGAAAUUCACAAACCUAUCCAAAUCUCAUCCAAAAAUUCCAUAAAUCACAUCAAUAUACUCCUCUUAAUAUUCCACACUUAAAACCCUAAAAAUCUCUUAACCGGCGGCGGCGCCGCCGGCGGCUCCGCAGGCAGCGGCGGCCAGAGGCCAAUUCCGGCGACCUCCAAAACCUAUGAAAUUUUGACAGAAUAAUCUCCUCAUCAUGCUCUACAACUUUCUUAACCAGCACAUUACCCAAUUCCAAGCCUAACUAGGCUAAUCGAACGAAAACAUCCUAAAAGCCCUAGAAAAUUCAACUCCACAUUUCUCCUUACCUAGCUCAAGAGGGAGUGAGCUGAUUGGAGGGGUUGCUGCAUGGGAGGAGGGCUACAAAACGAGCCAAGGAUCGCCGGUUUUGGUGGCCGGAGGAGGGAGUUCCAACGGCCGGAAGUUCGGGGCAGCCUAGCCUUUCGGGCGGCACCGCUCUCUCACGGCGGCGCUAGGGGGGCUGUCACCGGUCCUGGAAGAUAGCUGGGUCGGAGGGCAACAGAACGGGACUGGAGCGGCGGCAGAUGGUGGCCGGACGGCGAGAAGUUUCCGGCAGGGGAGAUGCUCGGGAGGAAACCGGGAAGAAGAGAGGAAGAAAAAGAAAAAGUGAGGGCUGGGUUUGGGCCUGACCAACCCGGUCCAUCACCUAUAUAACAACCCAAUUCCAAAAAUAAAACACCCCGAAAAAUAAUACCCGAAUAAAAAUUAUCUUUUACUAGUUAAAAUUUACCAUUUUUAUCGUCGUCGAAAUUUUCUCUUACGAAUAAUCCUCCGCACAUAAACGUCCCUGAAACCCCACUAGGGACCAAUUAAACUAUUAACUCAAUGACGGAGACGGUAAAAUUCUUAUUAUAAUCAGGCUAGUAAAUAAGGUAAAAAUAUAAGGGCCGGGAUGUGACAAUUCUCCCCUCCUUAUAAAAAUUUCGUCCUUGAAAUUUACAUACCUGUCAUCCGAAGAGAUAGGGAUAUUGCUGCAUCAUUUGAUCCUCCGAUUCCCAAGUAGCUUCUUCUACUUGAUGACUUCUCCAAAGCACCUUGACAAGUGGGAUUGUCUUAUUCCUAAGCACUUGCUCCUUUCGGUCCAGAAUCUGAACCGGUUCCUCUUCAUAGGUCAAAUCUCUCGUCAAACUGAUCGCCUGCUCUUGCAGCACAUGAGAAGGAUCGGCAAUAUACUUGCGAAGCAUGGAUACAUGAAACACAUUAUGUAUCCUAGCUAACUCUGGAGGCAAAACUAGCCGAUAAGCAAGUGAGCCAACUCGCUCAAUAAUCUCAUAAGGGCCAAUAUACCUCGGAUUGAGCUUCCCACGCUUACCGAAUCGCACAACCCCUUUCCAAGGAGAUAAUUUCAGGAACACCCAAUCACCCACUUGAAAUUCAAGAUCUCUCCUACGGACAUCCGCAUAACUCUUUUGCCUACUUUGAGCAGUCUUGAGUCUAUCUCUAACCACUUUAAUCUUCUCAUUCGUAACAUGAAUUAACUCUGGGCCACAAAGCUCUUUUUCCCCCACUUCAUUCCAACACAAAGGCGUGCGACACUACCUCCUAUAAAGAGUCUCAAAGGGAGCCAUACCAAUGCUAGAAUGAUAGCUAUUAUUAUAGGCAAAUUCCAUCAAAGAUAGGUUUUUAUCCCAACUCCCUCUGAACUGCAUGGUACAUGCCCUCAACAUAUCCUCCAAAGUCUGAAUAGUCCUCUCGGACUGCCCAUCAGUCUGAGGAUGAAAAGCAGUGCUGAAGAGUAAUUGGGUACCUAAAGCUGCCUGAAGAGCUCCCCAGAAUUUAGAAGCAAAUCGAGGAUCCCGAUCUGACACUAUUGAUUCAGGAACACCAUGAAGCCUCACAAUUUCAUUCACAUAAAGCUCCGCCAAUUUAUCCAAUUUAUACUUCUUUCCCACUGGCAAGAAAUGUGCAGACUUGGUGAGUCUAUCCACAAUCACCCAAAUAUCGUCAUUCCCUUCACGGGUACGAGGUAAACUAAAAACAAAAUCCAUGGUGAUGUGGUCCCACUUCCACACUGGAAUAGGCAACGGCUCAAGCAACCCAGAAGGCUUCUGCCUUUCAGCCUUGACUUGCUGACAAAAAUAUUUUUCUAAUUCCCCCUCUUCAUCUUCAAUGUAAUCAUCAUCUUCUUCUUCUUUCAGUUCUGCUUCUUUUUCUUCUUCAGCAGCGGCACCCUUUUGGACCUCUUUUCUCUUUUUCUUCGACUUUAUCUUCUGUAAAACUUCUCCUAUAAUUUGUUUUUUCCUCAUAGAAGCUACAGAUUCUUGAACCGAAUCCUCUUCGGUAUCAGAAGUGAGAACUAAAUGUUUUGAAUUUCUUCCCAUCCUGCAUAUAAGUAGUAAAAACUUGCAUUUAUAAACUGCAUAACGUAAAAAAAAAAAGUUUACUGCCCCCCCAGUAAACUUCUACUGGGGGUCAGUAAACUUCAAUACACCAUCUCCCUUUCAUAAUCAUGCCAAUUAUACAUAACAGAUAUCCAUUCUUACCCUAAUAAACAACUUCAUUGAACCCUAGUAAAUCGAGUGGAAGUUUCCUGCCCCUAGUAAACUUCUACUGGGGGUCAGUAAACUUCAAUACACUAUCUCCCUUUCAUAAUCAUGCCAAUUAUACACAACAGAUACCCAUUCUUACCCUAAUAAACAACUUCAUCGAACCCUAGUAAACCCAGUGGAAGUCCCCCAGUAAACUUCUACUGGGGGUCAGUAAACUUCAAUACAGUAUAUCCAUUUGACAAUCAUGCCAAUUAUACACAACAGAUACCCAUUCUUAUCCUAAUAAACAACUUCAUUGAAUCCUAGUAAACCUAGUGGAAGUUUACUGCCCCCUAGUAAACUUCUACUGGGGGUCAGUAAACUUCAAUACACUAUGCCCCUUUCAUAAUCAUGCCAAUUAUACACAACAGAUACCCAUUCUUACUCUAAUAAACAACUUCAUUGAACCCUAGUAAACCCAGUGGAAGUUUACUGCCCCCCACGUAAACUUCUACUUGACAAGAGUAAACAACAAUACAGUAUCNNNNNNNNNNNNNNNNNNNNNNNNNNNNNNNNNNNNNNNNNNNNNNNNNNNNNNNNNNNNNNNNNNNNNNNNNNNNNNNNNNNNNNNNNNNNNNNNNNNNNNNNNNNNNNNNNNNNNNNNNNNNNNNNNNNNNNNNNNNNNNNNNNNNNNNNNNNNNNNNNNNNNNNNNNNNNNNNNNNNNNNNNNNNNNNNNNNNNNNNNNNNNNNNNNNNNNNNNNNNNNNNNNNNNNNNNNNNNNNNNNNNNNNNNNNNNNNNNNNNNNNNNNNNNNNNNNNNNNNNNNNNNNNNNNNNNNNNNNNNNNNNNNNNNNNNNNNNNNNNNNNNNNNNNNNNNNNNNNNNNNNNNNNNNNNNNNNNNNNNNNNNNNNNNNNNNNNNNNNNNNNNNNNNNNNNNNNNNNNNNNNNNNNNNNNNNNNNNNNNNNNNNNNNNNNNNNNAUAUAUAUAUAUAUAUUUCUCUUGCUUUAUUUUAUUCACGAUUUUUUGAUUAUAUAUUUUUGUUUCCUGUUAUUAUAGUGUACAACAUGGACAAGAGCUGGAUGCAAUUAGGGAGGGGGUCCCCAGUUUAUAUGAGAGACAUUUUUUAUUUUCUUGAGUUCGUGCGUCUACGUAGUCCUCCAGACAAAGUUAUUCACAUAUGUCCGUGCAACAAAUGUCUCAAUCGGACAUCAGUAACAUAUGAAGACAUGUAUUCUCACUUGGCACUAAACGAUAUUUGUCCUAGUUAUACCACAUGGACAUGGCACGGCGAAAAUCAAGUUCAAAUGCCUACACUUGCAGAAAUUCAAGCACAACAUAAUCAGCAGGCAGGAUCUUCCAAUGCUAGUUAUGGGGACCCUGCUGUGAUGAACCUCUUAAACGAUGCCUUCCCGUUCGUCGCCUCAGGAUAUCAGCAAAAUGUUGUUUAUGACAACGCCCCUGACACGUUCCCUAAUAUCUCCCACGUUGACUACAGGAGUGAUUAUGAUAAGUACAACAGGCUUGUACGAGAAGUACAAACCCCGUUGUAUCCUGACAGUGAGCAUACUGUGUUGGGUAUCGCCAUGGAGCAAAUGCAGAUAAAAAACAAGCGGGGAAAGACUAACGCAUGUUUUGAUGACAAUAUUGCACUUAUGAAGAAAGUGCUUCCUAAAGGUAACUGUUGUCUGGAAAAUUUCGACAAAGUAAAAAGCAUGUUGGCUGACCUCAGUCUUGAUCACCAGAAGAUAGACGCUUGCGUGAAUAAUUGCAUGUUGUAUUACAAAGACAACAAGGAUGAAGUUGAGUGCCCACACUGCUACGAGCUAAGGUAUGAAGCUUCAACUUCAUCUAAGCAGAAAAAGCCCAUUCCUAGGAAGGUUCUUCGUUACUUCCCGUUAGGUCCUCGUUUGCUACGUCUGUACAUGUCUUCACAUACGGCCAAACAUAUGAGAUGGCAUCAGGCAAGGCACCAGGGAGAGGAGAGGAUAGAUCCGGAUAAUCUCACACACCCCGCAGACGGGGAGGCUUGGAAGCACUUUGACUGUUCUUUUCCUGAAUUUGCUGGAGACUGUUGAAAUGUCAGACUCAGACUUGCAACAGACGGAUUCAAUCCUACUGGAAACAUGAAUUUGUUUUACAGCAUUUGCCCUGUGAUAGUAUUUCCGUACAAUCUACCUCCCAACAUGUGUAUGAGGAAAGAGUACAAUUUCCUUACGCUUAUGGUUCCAGGGCCGUGUUCUCCAGGAAAGUGCUUGGAUGUGUGCAUGAGACCAUUAAUUGACGAGUUGCUGGAGUUAUGGGAAAGGCUCAUUGGUGUGUCCUUCAACAUUGCGAAGAAGUCGAGCGAUACUUCAAGUCUCAUAUGGAAAGGCAGUACGGUAACGAAGUCAUACACAAGAGAGAUUUUUCUGAUUACUUCUCUAUUUGGGUACCUUUCUAUCGAUAUGUAUAUAUGAUGUUACAUAAAUUAAAUAUAUGUUGCUUUUUGAUGUUACAUAAUAUAAAUAUAUAUGAUGUUACAUAAAUUAAAGAUAUGUUGCUUUUUGAUAUUACAUAAUAUAACAACGUUGGUAUUAAAAUUGUUACAAAUGAUGCACAUAAAUAGCAGUUUCCUACUUCUUUCGACCCGGAGUUGCACUUGUUAGCUGGAGGACCCCAAAGCCACAGAGUUCGUUCUGGAUGUUUUGUGAACGAUGUUAAGUUUGUGACGUCAGAACGAGAUGAAGGCCAUGUCACCCAAAACAAUGGAGUCAUGGUUGAGGGUUUGGGUUUCAACUACUACGGGGUUCUUGUCAGUGUCAUCGAACUAAUCUACGGAAACCGUAUGCCAGUCGUGUUGUUCAAGUGCAAAUGAUUCAAUACUGACCCAACUAGACGGAGGAGUACAAUUCUGGAUCGUGGCUUGUUAUCAGUGGACUCAAACAGUGUAUGGUAUGAGAAUGAGCCGUUUAUUCUUGCCACCAUGGCGAAACAAGUGUUUUAUCUUGAUGAUCCGACUAUGAGUGAGGGUUGGAAAGUGGUGCAGGUGAUGUCACAUAGGAAUAUUUGGAGUGCAGCUACACUGGGAGGGGAUGAUGAGAGUGGGCCCAGUGAACCAAUAACAACUGAUCAACCGAAUGAACCAUAUCAAGAGAUUCUCCACAUGUAGUCCCUGAUACUGAGGAUAUUCGUGUCAACAACCAACACGUCCGGCUAUCAUAAAUUACCUUCCAGUUACACCAUCUGAACUGAACUCGCUACAACCUCGCAUCCCCAAUCAUGAUGACGACGGCUUCAUAGAUGAUGAAUACAUAGAGGAUGAUGAAUAUUUUGACCAAACUGAGGAGGAUGAUGAUUCAGACGACUCAGAUUAUCAUGAGUACGAUUAGUAUAUAUUACGAUUAUUGUACGAUUAAUAUAUAGUAUGAUUAUUCGGACGACUCUGAUUAUCAUAUGUAUUUUUAAAUUUAUAAUUAACCACGUACGUACGUACGUCAAACCAUUAAUUAUAUAAUAUUCAUGCAAAUUUUCAUUGUAAUUUUUAAAAUGCAAAUAUAUGUGUAUGCUUUUUUAAGUACGAAUAUUUACGUAGAGUUAUAAUUGGGUUUAGUUUGAAAAGUUACACGAAAAUGCUCAGAUGCAAAUAUAAUAAAAUUGUGGAAAUUUUUAAUAAUAUACUUAGUCGACGGAAUUUGAAUAAUUCGUCGCCUAAUAAUCCUAAGGCGACGGAAAGAAAAUGCUUAGAUGCAAAUAUAAUAAAAUUGUGGAAAAUUUUUAAUAAUAUACUUAGUCGACGGAAUUUGAAUAAUUCGUCGCCUAAUACUCCUAAGGCGACGGAAAGUGGACUUUCCGUCGCUUAGGAUACCCAAAAUAUUAGUCACAUUUUAAAAAUUUUAUGUUACUUAGGCGACGGAAAUUGUAUAAGUUGUCGGCUUGGUAAACCAAUGCGAUGGAAAAUACAUUUUCUGUCGUCUAGAAUCCCAAAAUAUUAGGCGGGUGAAUUUUGGGUUUUUUUUUAAAAUUUCGUAUUACUUAGGACACGAAUAAAUGUCUUAGGCGACGAAACCUAAUUUAAAACCUAUAUUAACUCCCUCGCGCAAUCCACAGUCCCUAAUUAAAUUCACACCCACAAUUCCCAAAUCUCACCAGAGUCACGCCACCAGAGCUGCGCCACCAGACCCUAUCCACGCAUUGAUAGGAGCAUAAAAUGCGACAUUCUUAAUAUGUUAUUACCUCCAUUUGUACUUUGAUUAUCUCUUAUUGUCGUAGAAUAGAGUCAUAAUGUAGAGUCGAAAGUUUUUGGUAGAGUUGUGCGUGAAACGUGUUAAACAUAGAGGAACGGUGUAGAAAAUUGUCAAAAGCCGAUUUGUGGAGCCUUAGAGAUGUUCUUAUGAUUCUGUAAAGCUUUUACAUUGUCACAAAUUGAUUUAAUUUCUCUGAUACUUAGGUGACAUGUAGAAGAGUCAUGAACAGAGUAACCUACUACCUGCCGAGAGAAGUGUUCCUGAUGAACCUAGGGAAGUAAAGCAGUUCAUCCACGAAGCCUAGUCCAUGAAAGGAGAGGUCCAAACCAAGUCCAAUAUGGAGAAGAAGAUCUAAAUUCGGCAGAAUAUCAAGGAAUAUCCAAGUCUUGAAAACCCUGAUUAAUUUCGGGAAAAUUCCUGUGCACGUCUCUCAACUUCAACGGACUCUCCAGGACAGCUCACAAGGAAUCAGAAAACGUGCUAGAUAUGGAUAGAGAGCUAGGGGAGUCUAGUUUCCAAAUCAAUUGGAAUCACCUCAAUAUCUAUUUUCUAGAGGGAGUUAUGACGUAAUCAUCAGACGGAGGUCAUUCUGCCGAAUUGAGAAAAACUAGGGAAACCUAAACCAACUUGGUUUCAACUUUGUGGCCGGCUUCUCUAGGGUUUUUCCUCUAUAUAAAGCACGACUUCAAGGGCAGAAGGGGAUGAUCUCGACCCUUGCAAUUACAUAGCCGAAACUCUACCAAACCCUAUACAGAAAAUUACUUAGCCGUUUCAUCCACCACAAACUAUAAGAAUCAUUCCAUCCUUCCACCGAUUUUCCCCACACUUGCCGAAUCUUUCAAGGUUGUAAAAGUGUGAUCUUCUCAUGGCUUCUUGUAUUAUUUUCUGUAUGGUUUCGAACUCUAUUGUAAUAUACUUUUCGAUUUUGGUUUUAUUUAUCAAACAUGGUUUUUGGAUUUCUUUGUGAUCUUUGAUUGUUCUAUGUUUUGAUUUAUAACUUCUUGAAUAUAUGAUGAUUUCGUGAUUUAGGUUUUGGGGCAGUAGCAUGUUCUUAUGUGUUUUUGAUUUCUAAUUGAUUAAUUGUCAUGAAUUCGUGCAUCUAAAUCAAUCCUUAAGAUUGCCUCGGCCAUGGUUGUCCUUAAGGUGCGGUUUCAUCUACCAUAAUAAUUUUGGAUUGAUUCAUACGCAAAGUUGUCUUGGUCUCUGUUAUUAACUUAGGGCGGAUAUAAUUCUGAUACUUUGCAUGCUAAUAGGAUAAGUGACGCCAUGCCUUAGAUCAUGUUUCCGAUUGACUCGUGUGCUAAAGUGUUUUCUUGUUUAAUCUCUACGCAACGUGUCUUUAAAUGAGUUAGCAUUCAUGUUUAGGAUCAAGCGCAAAGAUGGUUCUAAAUACUUGAGGAGUCUUAACAAUUAGAUAACCGCAAAGGCUCUAAUUAGAAUCGGAAUUGGUUAGAGUCUAGGAUAAUUUGAACGUUGCUGCCCGGCCUUGCAUGAAGUUGUUAUGUGUUCUUGAUGGUUUUUCGUGUUAUGUGUUGCAUGAGUAUGUUGAUCACUUGUAUAUAAUAAUCUUAGGUUUAAUUUUCAGUAGGUUAUUUGUUAGAAUUAAUCAAUCUUAAACCCCCAAUAUUUCGAUGUAUAUAUGUGAAUACUUGUUUAUAAAUUGUUUGGUUUCUCUUCUUUCGAUCGCCCUUUGGUUUCCCCGGCUAGAACGAUCCCUACUUGUCCAUAUUACUACGAUUGCAGGGUAAUUAAAUUGAAGUUGAUUGACCCCGGUUACGCGACACGUCACGCAUCGGCCACAGAUUAAAGUGCGCGCAUCCACCCACCUCCUCCACUCAUCACCACCACAUCCACCCGCCACUCCGAUCUCUCUGCUCUCACCUUCUCACCGCCGCACUUUUUGCAGGUCCGUAUUCUCUCUCUUCUCAGAUUGAUCUUGUUUGUUACUUCUGAAUCGUAAACGAAUUCGUUGAUCGUGUUUCAUUAUUAUUAUUAUUAUUAUUUUUUGAUUAUCCAAAAAAAAAACCAAUAUCAUAUUGUAUCUUUUUCUUAAGUGGCUCACAGCUUUUGUUAGUGUUUUCUGUAUCACCAAUGCAUGAAGGCUAAAAAAACAUAAUGGUUGGAUCAACCUGUAUGUUUUUCUAUGGACUAUUUUUCAUAAUCUUUAUCUAUUACUCACUCAUUUAGUAACAAUUGUGUGUUAUUCAUGUGCAAGAUAUGGUGAUCAUGGGGAAGAGGAAGGGCCGAGCCACUAAGGCCAAAGCUUUGAUGGAGUCAAUACGGCACAGCGUCGGCUCAGCUAGCAGUAGCAGCCAUCCUAACCCCAUGCCGGCUGAGAUAGUACCACCAGGGGCUCCCCCCUUGAUCGUGUGGCGCCCUACAGUUGACAGUUGUUCAACGAGAUCUCAAUCGGUGUCUGUAACUGCACCCGAGAUUGCAAUCGCACCCGAAUCUGCAAGACGCAUCGUCGGCAGCGAUUGAAUCAAAGUUAGAAGCCAAACGGGUAAGUGUAUUAAUUUACUGCUCCCCAGUAAACUUAUAAUGGGGGUCAGUAAACUUGCAGUACAAUAUGUCUCUUUCAUUUUCAUGCCACUUACACACAACAGAUAUCCUCUUGUAUAUUAAGUAUCAUAAUGUAUUUUCAUUGGGGGUCAGUAAACUUCUACUGGGGGUCAGUAAACUUGCAGUACAAUAUGUCUCGUUCAUUUUCAUGCCACUUACACACAAUAGAUAUCCUCUUGUAUAUUAAGUAUCAUAAUGUAUUUUCACAUGUUAAUUGUAGCUUCGACCCCGAAAAAGAAGCGGGGUUUUUGUUCUGGAAAGAAGGCGGAGGAUAUCGUUCAACAAACGGGGCAGAAGAUCAAGCUCGCGUAUUGCCCCUGUGUAAAAGGGCCUAGCGUGAGGGGGAUAAACAACUUGGUGGCACAUGAUAUCGGUUGCGCCAUACGGAGUCUGGUGGGAAUGAGGGCAAGCAUGUUCUACGACCUUGAUCAGACUGAGAAGUGGAAGGUGUGGAAUGCAAUGUCGGUAAGUAACUGAAAAGUAUAUGAAAAGUAAAUUUACUUAAUUACAAUUGUUUGAUAACAUAUAUAUUAUUGCUUAUGUAAUUGGAAGGCAUGAACUGACUGAAUUGACAUCUCUCUGUUGAUAAAAUUUCAUGUCUAAGGAUAUGUUUGCAUAAGGAGUUUGUAUAUAAAGUGAAAAUGUUAUGGAUAUGUGUAAAGUAUAAUUGAAUAUGUGUGAAGUAUUGUGUGCUGAUAUGAAUUGAAAGAUGUGUUUUGUGAUAAUAAUUGGGUGUGUUAAUUUUUUUAUUUUAUUUUUUAGUGCUUAACAUGGGAAUUUUUGAUUUAUUUCUCACUUAUCUGAAGUACGAGUGGGAUGAAAAUGAUGAGGCAAUGUUCAAUUGGAUACUGAUGAGAGCACAUGAGAGGUAUAAGGACUGGAAGUACCAGUGCCACAAAGCUUAUCUGAAGGAAGGGUCCUCUGGCAUGCCUUCAGAUUUCAUUGGGAGAGAGGACCAGUGGGACUUUCCAUGCCAGCACUUCGAGUCAGAUGCGUUCAAGGUGAUUUUUAAAAUUACCUUCAUUGUUUUUUAUUUUUAUUUUUAAAUUACAUUCAUUGUUUCCCUUGUAUUUUACUAAUCUAUUUACCAUUUUUUCGUGUAUAUAUUAGAGACUCUCCUUGGCAAACAAGCGGAACCGUGGGGAGAAGACUAUGCGCCACCACACGGGGUCUUCGAUCUCCUAUGUAAGUGUUUUUCCUUUUACUUUAUGUAAGCUUAGCAAAUGCUUCAAGCAUGUGUAAAUCCGGCUAUUGGUAUAUAUAUGAGACCAUUAAGUUGAAUCUAGGCACUGUCCAAUUACAAUGUCAUGUUUUCCUGCUUCUUCCAAAACAAAAAAAAGUGUUAUUAUCGCUGUCAUUAAUUAUUAUGUAUAGUUUUAGGGAGCAAUAAAGUUGUUUACUAUGGAGCAAUUAAUAAAGAUGUUUAUUAGGGUAUCUGUUGUGUGUUGUGGCCAUGAAACUAAAAGGGAUAUAAUGAAUUGCAAGUUUACUAACCUUCAGUAGAAGUUUACUGGGGGGCAGUAAACUUCUACUGGGUUUACUAGGGAGCAAUAAAGUUGUUUAUUAUGGUAUCUGUUGUAUGUUAUGGCAAUGAAACUGAUUGGGAGAUAAUGAAUUGCAAGUUUACUGACCCCCAGUAAAAGUUUACUGGGGGGCAGUAAACUUCUACUGGGUUUUAUAGGGAGCAAUAAAGUUGUUUAUUAGGGUAUCUGUUGUAUGUUGUGGCAAUGAAACUGAAAGGGAGAUAAUGAAUUGCAUGUUUACUGACCCCCAAUAGAAGUUUAUUGGGGGGCAGUAAACUUCUACUGACCCCCAGUAGCUUCUUUGUUUAUUAUGUAACCAGUAAACUUUCUUAUGGAAACUUUAUUGAUGUAUUUUAAAUGCAUGCAGAAUGACAUGGUUGAUGAGGUCAAUAAACGAAAUGAUGCAUUUAAGGAACAACACCCUAACGCGACGGAGGAGCAGAUUAUGGAAAGUGUUUAGUCCCAACAAAUUGAGGUGCUGGGUACAGUGCUCAAAACUCGCAAAGGAAAGGAGAUCAGAGGGAUGGGACAAGGAGGCGAGCGAGACUUGAGCCAUUCUUCAAAUGGUUCCACUUCACGUAGUCGUCCUCCUAGAGUUGAUGAGCAGCAACUCCAAGAGGUGCAGCAGCGCUAUGAGCAAAGUCUAAAGGAAUCAGAGGAUCGUGCCCAGCAGCAGUUAACAGAGGUCCAGCAGCGUGCCCUGCGUGCUGAGUCUAUGUAUAGUGCUGUGCAGUCCCAAGUUGCAGCCUUAUAUGAGCACCUAGGUAUGCCACCUCCUCCUCCUCCACACUUUCCUCCUCCACCUCCAAAUGCUUCUCCUCCACCACAUGUUUCCCUACAAAACAAUGAUGAUCUAGGCGAUAAUAUAGAAUUGGACAACGGACGUUCUUAGAAUUAUUGAUUUUGUAGAAGAUUCAUAGUUUAGCUACAUUGUAUGAACAAUUUUCUACCUAGUUAAUUCAUUAAUUAUUUUGUAUAUAUGAAUAAUAUUUGUCCAUCUGUAAUCAAUAUAUGAAAAAUGGUCCAAAUCCAGUGCUUCCGGUAUAUAUGUAUCUGUAUGUGUUUCAUUAUUGUUACUGAUUUGUAAUUUUUGGAAACAGUGAAACCCAAAAAAAUAAAUAAAUAACAAAAUUCAGUGUUUUUUCACCCUAUUUAAAAUCUCUUAGGCGACAGAACCAGAAACCUUCGUCGCCUAAGAUAUUUGUCUUGUACGACGGAAACAGUAAUCUUCGUCGCCCAAGAUAAACAACCGAAGCCACUGAACAGUAACAUUCGUCUCCUAAGAUAAAAUACCUAGGCGAUGGAAAUAGUGACAUUCGACGCUUAAGAUAAACAACUUGUCCGACAAAUACAAAGAUCAAUCGUUGACUAAGAACAGUUACACAUUCGUCGGGCAAAAACUAUGCCGAGGAAUUUUCCGUCUCUUAAGAACAAUCUUAUAUUCGUCAGUAAAGAUACAUAUAGACGGCAGUUUCGUCGGUUAAGAGGAAUUUCAUAUUCGUCGGCUAAGAACAUUUCUGACAAAAACUUUCCGUCGAUAGAGAGUUUUUUCGACGAUUCCGUUUGUCGACAAGGCAGGUAAGGGUCCGUCGAGUUGGAUCGGUCUUAGUCGACGACUAACUUAAUUUCCGUCGCUUAAGUGUCUACCUCACGACACCUAGGCGACGGAACUUAGACUACGGAUAAUUCGUCGGUCAAGAUUGUAAUCGACGGAUAUGCGGUCUUAGGUGACGAAUUGUUUCCGUCGGCUAAGUCGAUAUUUCCACUAGUGUCUGUUCUCGCCCGACAUCUCAAAACCAGUUCUUAUUUGUCUUUUUGGAGGGGGGAGUGGAGCCUCUACUAUAGUUUCCCUAUGAUCACCUGAAAGAUCGUUGUUCUCUUUAUGGGCUUGUCACUCAUGUAGGGGCUCGAUGUGAAGAACCUCCUUUGGUUGAUCUAACCAGAGCUAGGGUUUUGGGUUUUGCAAGUUCUUCUACACGAAAUCCAAACCCUAACUCCACUUUUGCUGCUAAGGCUCCAUCUGUUCUUGCUGCAGUCUUCAGGCCUUACAUCUUCUACGGUUCCUAAAAAGAAGAAACUAGUUAUCUUGAAGGAACGCAUGGCAUUUGGAACGUACCCUCACAACUAAAUUGGUUGCAGUUGGCAGUGAAGAACAUGAACUGGGACGCAAGCUAAAUGAGCCUCCAACAACUGCGGAUCUUGUUUUCGAUUAUGAGAAUUCGGGUUCCGAUUUGCAGGAAAUACUAGCAGUGGAGAUCACUACUAUGAGUGAUGAAGCUGUUUCUACCCCGACCCGAAAAUGUGGAAGGACAGAGGUAUCACUCCCCCCCUUAAAAAAUUCAAGACUAUUUUGGGAGGUAAGGUCAUAACUCUCCACCAGAAUCUCUAGGGUUGGUGGAAGACUCAAAGGAUGAAAAGUUGUUGACUUACAAAAGGAAGUUUUGUCACAUCCCGACCCGUAAAUUUUUACCUUAUUUACUAGCUUGGUUAUAAUAAGAAUUUUACAGUCUCCGUCAUUGAGGUUAUAGUUUUAAUUGGUCCCUAGAGGGGUUUCGGGGACGGUUAUGUGCAGAGGAUUAUUCGUAGGAGGAAAAUAUGACGACGGUAAAAAUGGUAAAUUUUAGCUAGUAAAAGGUAAUUUUUAUUCGGGUAUUAUUUUUUUCGGGGUGUUUUAUUUUGGAGUGGGUUGUUAUAUGGUGUUGGACCGGGUGGGUGUGAGGCCCAAACACCCAUUUCUUUUCCCUCUCUCUUCUUCUCUCCCUCCCGGUCUCAUCCCCGAGUUUUCCCGCAGCCGAAGCUUCCGGCCGCUCGUCCGCCGCCGUCCGGCCACCAACCGCCGCCGCACCGGUCCCGUUCGGUUGACUUCCAACCCAGCAACCUCCCUGGACCGGUGAGAGGAGCCCUAGCGCCACCGUGAGGGAGCGGUGCCACUCGAAAGGUUUGACUGCCCAGAACUUCCGGUCGCCGGAACUCCCUCCUCCGGCCACCAAAGCCGGCGAUUCUUGGCUCAAAAGAAAGCUCUCCUCCCGUGCAGCAACCCCUCCAAAAAGCACGCCCUCUCGUGGUCUAGGUAAGGAGAACCGGUGAGUGGAAGCUCUAGGGCUUUUUGUGUUGUUUUCGUUCGAUUGGCAUAGUUAGGCUUGGAAUUAGGUGUUGUACUAGUUAAGAAAGUUGUAGAGUAGGUUGAGAGGAAGCUGCUGUUUAAAUUUGGUGAGCAUUGGAGGUCACCGGAAUCGGCCUCCGGCCGCCGCUGCCGGCGGAGCUGGUGGCGCCGCCGCCGCUGUUUGGGAGUUUUGUAUAGUUUUAAAUGUGGAAUAUUAAGGGGAGUAUAUUGAUGUAAAUUAUGGAAUUUUUGGAUGAGUUUUGGUUAGGUUUGUGAAUUUCCGAAGUUUGGUAAUUUUGGCGGAUUAAUAGGAUAGAAUCCGACCGUUGGAUUAAAGUCGUAUAAUCUGUGGAAGGGUGUAGUUAAGGUUGCUGGUUUUAGUGUUGAGGUGUGGACCGUAUCGAAAUUAGGCAAUGAUGAGCGUGAGUAUGGCUCUCGGUUAAUUUUGCCUAUUUUGUUCAAAUAUUGGAUUUUUAGUUGGGAAAUUAAUUUUAUAUUUGUGCCAAGGUUCGAGGAAACCUCUCUGGAGUGGCGAUUUGGAUUUCGUCGGGCUUAUGCCUAGAGUUGUGAGUGGACUUUUGGUUUUGAAUAAUAUGCAUGCAAUGGUUUUGGUUGAACAUUUAAAUUGUUGGAGCAUUUUGACGUCAUUUUGAUUUUGACGAUUUAUUUCUCUUGGAGAGUUACCGAAAAUGGGAUUUUCGGUGAUAUAAAUAUGUAUUUGUGAGGAGAGUAUGUAUAAAAAUGCUAGCUAGCCCUAUGUGUCUGUCCACCUUAAUGGCGUAGCAUAUAACCGCAUUAUGGUGUGACGUGAGCGUUGGACGCUAGCGUAGUAGCCCUAUAUGAGUGUUUAAUUCAUAUAGGGGGUAUGGACACAUAUUUAUACACCCGUCUGUCCACCUUAAUGACGUAGUGUAGCACCGCAUUAAGGCGUGACGUGAGCGUUGGACGCGAGCGUAGUAGCCCUAUAUAGACCCAUGAAUUAUAGGGAGUAUGGACGUGUGUAAUACAUACAUAUUUUAUAGAGCCUGAGAGGCUCGAUAUUUAUGAGAUAAAAGUUUUAUCGCUUGCAGCAUGCGUUCUAUUUUCCUUGGAAAUUGAUUUGGGGAAACAUAAAUAUUUUAUUUGUUAAUUUAUUUUUUGUCCACUCACUCUAACGUGUUUCAAAUGUUUUCCCCUGGGCCCUUUGUUUUAAAAAUGCCCAGUUUGCAGGUUAGCUUAGUCAAGGUCGGGCGUACAUGGAGAUGAGGCAUAGUCAUCAUAUAGCUUCCGCUUGUUAAUUUAUUAUGUUUCCUUUCUUCCUGUUAGAGUUGCUCUGAAGCUAUAAAUGGUUGGAUAUGAGAUUUGUUUAGAUUAGUAAAUAAUUUGGGUGGUGUUGUGAUUUGGGGAGCACGGAGGCUCCAGGAGUUUAAGGUUGGAUUUAAAUUUUCAGAAGUGUUUGUAGGUAUUAUUAGGAAGGGUUGUCCAUUUUCAAGGGAGGUUAUGCCGAUUUUUCGGUAAAUUUUCCUUUGAGGUGGUCCCCGCACGACUUUGUCUGGGAUUCAGGGUGAAAUUCGGGGUGGGUCAUGUCAAGUUUGGUCAUCCUUUAGGAAGCAAGAACAAGAACCCAAAACCGGACAAGAAGCAUGCAGUCCCUCCUAUGCGCAUUCCUUUGCCGAUCAACUUUGGAGAUGAUAUUAGCCCUUCAGACAAGGGCAAAGGAAAGCUUGCCUACGAUAGAAGUUCCAAAUUCCUUAAUGUCUUAGUAUUUCUAGUUGUACACCAAUUGCGGUCUCUAAGCGACUUGAUUUACAUUUCUAAGAGAGUCAGGGUGUUAGUUCUUAGUUUAUGUUGUUUAGGCUCUUUCAAGCAUACUUGUUAACAAUGAGGAUUCCUAUCAGUUAGUUUGUUUAGCUUGAAUCUAUUAAUUCUGACACAAGUCGCUAGUUGAUAUACGUGCCUUCUGGUCAAUGAUAAGUAAUGAAAUUAUCUAUUUUGAUCUAUUCAAUAAAAUAAAGAAAAAAAAAUGAAAUACACUGGCUCAGUACAUUAGUGGUAAACAAACUCUCUCUCUCUCUAUAAGUAUAUAUAACGCUGCGUAUAGUUUGAUCAAUAUACCCAGUCAUAACCAUACAAAACACACACUGCAUUGUCAUAUAAUACAAAUCCAUAUGCCUCAAACCCAAGUAGAUACUAAUAUGCUAUAUCAUUGCAUAUUAGGUUACACUCUAUAUAUAUAUAUAUAUAUAUAUAUAUAUAUAUAUAUAUAUAUAUACUACACACACCCCCACUGGUAAUCGCGCGAUUGAUCGUCUUCACUAAUUAUGGAGUUAUAGAUAUGAGAACAAUCUAGGCACCGUCCCCACCAUCACUGCCACCCUUGCUGUUGAAGUCUUGCCUUGGGAUGUAAUGGUGGUUAUUCACACUGGUUCCUGGAUAAUACCCAGCUUGAUCGACCGUCUUGGUCUCCUGAACUAGCUGUCGGCUGCCAUGCCGAUCAUCGUCAAGUUGCCGGCCAGCAAAGGCAGAGCUCACCAUCAUCAAAAUUAGGGCGAUAGCCAGGAAUCUCAUUCUGAUCGAGCUUUUAGAAUACUUCCACUGAAACAAAACGAAAACAAGUUAAGAAACAAAAGGAGAAAAGACACUUUUUGUUUGCUUCGAACAACCUCUAUAAAAUAUGCUUACCCAAAACUGCUACUUUACUGCUUGAUAUUGUGAAGGAGGCAAGAGAAGUUGAUGCCGUUUAUAUAGAGGAACGUAUGCUAGUUAGGGUUUCAUUUUCUGAUAAAUUUGGUGAUGGGUUCUCCACCAAAUCAGCCAACACACUAGGUGGUAUGGCCACACUAACCAAUUGGAGAUUAAUUUGUCUAAAAUAUAUUGAUGAUAGCAAUUCUUGCCUCAUUGAUCAAAAGCGAAAUAAUGCUUUUGUCUCUUUAGUGCUACAAAUAGGAAAACUCCACCUUACAAUACUCAGUAGCCGAGAGCUAUAAUACAAACGAAGUCAACUAAGCACAAUGGAGCAUUGUAGCGUUACACCAUGAUCUGGAUUCUGGAAUUUGAUCUGUGAAUCGAAGUGGCUUAAAUUUAGGUGAAACAUUUGGAUAUGUAUGUUUUGGGGUUUCAAUCAAUUAUUCUGGGUGCAUGAUUUUAUUUAAUAUAGAUCUCAGUACUCAACACUCAACACCUAUUACCUAUAUGCUAUAUGAGUUCAAUUUUCACUCUGUUUGCCACUUAAUCAUCUUUCUAGCUAGCAACGUCACAAGUGGCUUUGCCCCCCCUUCAAUCCUGCAACAUCUUACAUAGUUACAUUACAGAAAUUAGAAUGAAAAACUUGAAGAACAUUUGACGGGAGAUCAGGCUCCCAAGAGGGUAAGUUGAUUCUACAAAGAAGAUUAAGAUUGGCAAGAUCAUUUCACAUCAAAUUUGCAACUUCCUGGAGAAUAUGAGAGAAAUUGAUAGCUUCAAAUUAGAAGAUCAGCCAUAUGAAGUAGUAAUUUAUUUCAAAAUAAGUACCAAAAACCUCAUUUGAUUCACGGAAGGAAAGUAAGCAUCGGAAAAAGAAAUUUUUUCAUUUGUCUAGUGUGAUGAGAUGCAAUGUAAAAUGAAAUCCUUUCUUGAGUGAGGGAAACAGGGGGAAUCAAAUAAAGUGCAUGGUUUCUUCCAAACUCCAAAUGAAUCUCUCCCACUUAUUUAUUUAUUUGCAUUUAUUACUCACAACACAUUUCUUUGCAUUCAUUACUCAAAGCAAAUAGAGUAGCCGAUACACUUUUUGCUAACUGGAUGUUAGAAUACAUUAUUUAUUGUAAUUGGGGGUUUAGGCUCUAUGUCCCCUCUUGUAUUCUAUGGUUUCAUUAAUCAAGGCUAAGGGCAGCUGCACCGGCCGUUCUUCAAAAAUUAAAAAAAUUACAAACUUUUUAACAACUUUCAGAUCACUUUUUCUUCUAUUACCAAACAUCGAAAUGUAAUUCAUGUGUUUACGUACAUUUCUGCUCCGAUGAGAAAAGAUCUCAUGAGAAAAACAAAAGGAUCAGUUUUGUUUCUCACAAACCAAAUUAAAGGGACCCAAGAAGGCAAAAACAACCACAUUGAUUUUUCACAAUCCAUAUGAAGAGAAGUUCUUCGCAAAGGACUAGACUUCCCAUGUUCAUAUGUAAAACUCUUCGAUUCUUUUAUUGUUCAAUAUCUCCUUCCACUAAGGAUCACAAUUAAGUGAUUUAACUUAAUUUACAGUGUAUGAGGCAAUGUGACGCAUAGGAAGACGAAGGAAGAGGUACCAUCUUUUUCCACUCGUCGACUAGCUAGGUGACUAUUCUAGAGAUUUACUUGAAUGAAUUACACUUGAUUGAUCGAUGGUCACUCUUGUCAUUAUGAUCUUUAUGAAUUAGGGCUUUUUUUAAUAAUUAUGAAGUAAUUCAUAGAUUUCUGAUUGAUGUAGUACUCAUCGGCAACUUGGUAUCAUGGUGCUAUCUGGUUGUCUCUUCUAAUAAUGAAAAAGCAUUUGUGGAAGUCCUAAACCUUCUUAUUGGACGUUGUCUUAUAUACAAAUAAGAGCAAGUCCACCUCAACCCCAAAAACAAGACUCAGACAUUUGUCAUGUCAAACGAAGAUCCAUCCAGAAAAAACCACCCUCCACCCAUGAAAUUUCUUUCACUUAGGUUAGAUCCGGGUCAUUACCUGGGUCAGACCCGGGUCAUCACCUGGGUCAGACCCAUGACCCAGGCAAAGGAUUUUGACGACCUAGCCUUCUGAGCCACCUCAGCUCGUUUGCACCCCACCACAUGACGUCGGCCACGUUGUGGCACUGUGACGUCCAGGCCUCAACGCGUUGCUCUCGUGCGUCUCUAGCACGACAGAAUCAGAGAGAGCGAGACGCGUGCCACAUACGGAUGCCGGGAAGCUUGGAUGGCGCCGUCGGUGGAAGAUCACCGGCGAAUCCCACAAACGUAGAGAAAAUGAUGUUUUUAAAAAAAUAUAAGCAAUUCGUGAAAUUAAGGGUAAGAGAAGAUAGAGAAGGAAAAUGUGAUCACAACCAUACCUCUAGCACACGAUUUGGUUGCCGGAAACCCAAACCCUAACCGGAAAAGCAAAAGCUUCCCGGAGUUGAUUUGACACCACGGUGAAUGCAUGUGAAAUUGAUGAUGGGGGUAUAGGAUAUGGAAGAAAGAGGAAGGUUUUGGCCAAGUCUGGCGCCGUGGGGUGGCCAGAAUCGAUUGUGUCGUCUUGGGCGGUCGGAUAGCAACACAGCUCUUGGUCGUCUUCGAAGAAGGAAGAGUUGACCUGAUUUGGGUCAGUUCACCUGAGUUGGAUUUUUAUAGAGAAAUUAAACGGCCUAGAUUUAAAAUGAAGAGAUCAAACGGUUGAGAAUUAAUCACAAAUUUCAAAUUACUAAUAAUAGUUUUGUUUUAUCGAAACUUUGAUAAAACAUAGAAAACAGUUCGAUGUACCAACAAAUAAUCUGAAUACAUCGGUGACCUCGUGUCGACGCGUACUACCACACAGGAGCCUUAAAUCGAAGACUCGACAUUUCAGGAAAAACUCAAAAAUAAAUCGAACAUAUAAAAUACCAAAUAUAAAAUGUAUUAAACAGUCAUUGCUACAUGACGACCCAAAAACUAAAAUUGUAGGUAAAAACUGCAGUCCAGUUUCACUGCCAUGUGGCGACCCAGGUCACACCCAUGACCCAGGUAUUCCCAACGAAGACCUAGCGGGUGGACUUGCUCUAAGAGUGUCUAGGUGUCAUAAUUUGAUCCUCAGGUUUUAAACCCGCAAUAAGCCCUUACGACCCGACCCUUUCUCAAAAUAACGUAAGGUCAUGCCAAUGAAGUGUGCUCCUUCACUAAUAUAAAAACCUCGCAUUCUACGACUUAUCAUAGUGAUAAUCACACCUGGCCCUCCUUUGCCAAUCACACAAUUGUGGUACAAGUUUAUAAGAAACUCGACACCUAUAGAAGACUCAUAGAUUUAUAAUUACCUAAUAGAGACUUAUCCCCAACCUAUAACAAAUUAAAACAAAACGAACUCCUUCCUUUUUGGAUUGGAGCUUACUGAAAACUCAUCCAAAGCCCAACUGUCCACAGCAAUGGUCUAAAAGGCGCUAGGCGCUAGGCGGGCGGCGACCUAUAGCCUAGCGUCUAGGUCGCCGCCCGCCUGGACAGCCUAGGCGGAGACUAGGCGGGAAUUAGGCGAUUUACUUUUUUUAUAUUUAAUUAAUAAAUAAAAAUAUUUAAAACUAGUAAAAUAUGAAUAAAUUUAAAAUUUUGGCUCAAUUAAUAGUGAUGCACAAAUAAAAAUAGUUUAAUUAAUAAUAUUUUUAUUUAUUAGAUAAGUAUUAGUAUUAAAAGGUCUAGAUUAUGAAAAUGGGAUUAAUUGGUUUAAUUAAUCAAUAAUCAGCUCUUGUCCACCUGUGUUGCAAGUUGCAACAAUAAUCAUCUCUCUCAUUCUUGCCUCGUUCAUUCCCAGACGUUAUUCAGAAAAGAAAAAGCGAUCAAACAAAUCCAGAUCUAGUAAAUCAUCUCCUCUGUUUACUUUUGUAACACACAGAGGACUAAUUCCAGAAUCGUCCUCUCAUGGAAUUCGAACUUUCCAAUCCUCUCGCAAAACCUCGCCCUUAAACCCAAAUCUCAAAUGGCCUCACUGCUCAACUGUCGGAUACCCGAAGACCUCGACAACGACGACGUCCUUUGUUUCUCCCGGCCAAUCGUGGCUCCGAUGGUGGAUAACUCCGAGGCAUCUUCGAGAAUCAAAAGGGCAUGCACGCGUUUUAGUUUAUUGGGGUUUUUUUUUUCGGAAGCGCCGGCUUCCCCUAGUCGCGCCUAGUCCAAGACCGCCUUGGACGCGCCUGCUUCGCCUUGAUGGUGCCUUGACCGCCUAGGCGAUCCUUGGGCUGCUGACCGCCUAACUGAAACGCUUUAGAGAAAAUCCGGGCGGCUUAGCUCCGCCUAUAGCCUAGUCGGCGCCUAGGCGGGGGAAGGUGGUGCCUUUUAGAAGCUUGGUCCUCAGUUCUCACCAACGAGAUGAAGCCCAAAACCUCCCUAGGCCUGCAAUCAGUCCAACUCUUACCUUGGGCCCAAAGAUCCAAGCAAAAGUAGCAGGCUCAAAGAUCUAAGCCACCUCCCAAAUUGCACAAGGAGAGAAGUUGGCCGCCGACACCAUCGACCAUGUUGCCCAUUCAACUGUGACUGCGUCGUCCCUACUCCGGCCAAAACCGCUGCAUCUCGAACAUUUGUCGUCAAGCUCAUUGUGCAACUCGCCAUCUCUACGCCCAAAACAACCACUGCUGCUUUCAAACCGCCGCAACCUAAUGUAAACCAUCGAUCCUCUCCCAUAAAACACACCCUAAAUCGCUACAAGAAAAGGCCACCGCAAAAGGAGCCGUUGAAACUCACUGGUUGAGACCCUGACGCCACCUCCUGAGGAGGUAAUACACCUUUGAACCCAUGUCACCGCCGUCUCGCCACUUCAUUAUCUGGUGAGCAUGAAGCUUGUUGUCGCCAUCACGAAACCUAGGUUUCGUCUUGGUAACUCACUCUUGAGAUACGUAGAGUGGUUCCUUCAAAACUGUGGAAUAAGGUUUAGGGUUUAUAUGGCGUGAUGUCCUUUUCAUAAAAAAAUAAUAAAAAAAAACAAUAUUUUUAAAUGUAACAAGUUGUUCUUGAGAUCUACACUACUAACUACAUAUAGAAAAUUAAAAAAUUAAAAAAUCUAUGUUUACGUAUGAACUGUAGAGACAAAUAGAGAUAGCAAGAGAAUAGAAAAUCGUGAAACAUAUAUAUCUUAUUAGCUAAAAAAACAAAUAUAUCUUAUUCAUUGAUAGAAAUCAUUUAUAUAUGGGAUUACAGAGUACCAUUCCGGUAUAGAUAAGGAUACAUAAUCGUAUUCUAACCUGUAAACCUAUCACUGUGCGAAAUAAGGGCAAGGCACACAUUACCUAAUAUCCUAGAACACUCCCCCUUGUGCCGCGCACCGUUUUGUCGAUGAUGCUUCAAUGUUGCUUCAUCAAAAACCUCGUCAAGUAAUAAAAACCCUGUGGGAGAAACUUAACCUUGAUCGUAGGAGAAAAAUAGUACAACGCACCCUUCACAAUUGAUAGUGACAUGUAUGUGCUAGACUCCCCCUGAUGUCUGCACCUCCCCCUAAUCUUUACAUCAAUCAUUGGGUUCUUCCUUAUUCUUUCUAAUCACAGAAGUUUCGAUAACUUAGCAUAUCAAUGCUCUUUAACAUGUCUUCAAAUGUGGCAUUGAACAAUGAUUCUAUAAAUCAUGUCAUAUUGUCCUUAAACAUAAUCAUUUACACUUAGAUCUUGAGGAGAAUGCUGUUUGAGAACUCAAAACAUAAGUUCGUGCAAAAAAAUCAGAUUCUCGUGCAACAUGACAUUCGAGUACUAAAUCAGCCGUAACUUUCUCUAGGAAUACAUAUGAACAAACCGUAAACGGUUUUGGAAACUAGAAUCAUGUAGCUUUCCAACCGUAUAUUACACACAUUUUGGUUCGUUCGGAGCUAUUCAUGAAGCUCAGUUGAAGUUGGCUGUUAUGCAAAAGCAGAUUCUCAAACAGAUUCCUCCUACUCUACGAAAAUAGUCAUAACUCACUCAAUAUGAUAGGUGUGAUCAAAUGGUUGGUGUCCCUAGAAAGUAAACACAUAGACCUUUCCAAUGGUAUUAGUUUAACCGUUUUCCAGUAAGCGGACUUUCCUAUAGGUCCCUUCAAAGUUGACCUAUGAAGCUGAACGGAUUCUGAUUUCGUCUUUAAUGUGUAUUUUUCUUAUGUAGAGAUAGAAUAAGCCCAAAUUCUUCAUACACAAAUAUUGAAGGGAUUUUCUUAUGCCAUUGCAAGGGCGUGGGAGUGGGCGUGGAGCUACGCUUAGCUUUACAACUUUUCAUAACGAAUGAGAGGUCAAGUCUUUCGUAUCGUGUCAAGUACAUUGAUGCAUCUUAUUGCACUUAGAUGAGAAUUUCAUCUCUUAACACAUAUUUUGUCAUCUUUCUUUGGACAUAAACGGAUCACUCUCUUAUAGAGUAAAGACUUUGAUUAAUUAUGAGAGUAUAUGUAGGUCUCACUAGUUAUAGAGCGUCUAAGCCGAUUAAUGGAAAAUCUACUAUAAGGAAGAGGACUUAACCGGAAACACGAAGGCAAUCCUUCUUGAGGAUACAAGGCCGUGCGUCAUCUUCACUUGGAAGAGACCAAAACGGCACAAUCUAACAAGGUAGAUUGUAAAUAUGCCAUGAUUCUAAGGACGAUGUAAACCGUACAUCCUGUUUGUAAAUCAAUACGAACCAUAGGAGAAGAAUAGUUUCAUAACUUCGAAAAAAUUCUCAAGACAUUCAUUAUUGCUAAUGUGCGUAUAUCGAGGUCUCGAAUAAAAUAAGGAUAUCGAUACGACGUCUUAUUACAUAUAGCUUGGAUAAAAAAUCAAAGUUUAAACGAUGACGUUAAAGUCAGGGGUAGCUAGAGCUGGAUCUGAAUCUUUAAAGUCCGCAAUCGUGAGGUUUAUUUGUCCUCAUUUGGAUUUUCCGUACAGAUGAUCUCCAAAGAUUCUUUGUAGUUUUUGUAUGCAUUCACGACUUGAGGAUGAGCUCGACAAUUCCUGAACCACUGAUCUGGAGAUUCACAACGGCUAGAUUGUCCUGAGCUGACGUGAGUAGUUUUCACAGGUUGGUGUCUAGACCAAGAGUGUCGCCAUUAGGGCCAGCAGCCACCCCCCCCCCCCCCUCCUUUUCUAGACAUCAGCGCGGCUUCUUCUGCCGUUGUCGUAACCCACAUUGCCUUCACCAUAUUAGGGGUUAAUCUCACGUGCGCAGACUAAUACGUUUAUCUCAUUGACGUACAUGCAAUUCUCGUUUGCAAUAGUAUGAUCAAAAUCAAGCCUCGUCGGUAAUUCCAAGAGAGUAAACUAAAACAUAAACCGACUUAGAGGACUUAGAGGAGUUGAUGAUGAUCGAAUCCGCUAAAGAUUAUGGAUCAUGAUGCCACAAAAUAUCACCAACGAUGUGUAGUCAAAAAAAGGUGGUAAACAAUGCACUUGACUAGUAACUCAACUUGUUGAGUUAGAUAGAAGUUUCAAGAAACUUUCCAUAAGUGUAUUCCACAAUACUUUGUGGUCAUUACAUUUUGCAAAAUAUGUGGUCUAAUCCUUUCCAAUGAAAGAUUCCACAGAUACCCAACAAAACUAGCGAAGAUUUGUCUUGGGCAUUGAGUACGUCAAAACUUAAAUGACCAGAAUGUUACGUUGCUCUUGCAUACAAACUAAGCUGUUAAAAGACUCGAUAAAGGUCACAAACAAUGCUUUUAAUGGUUUGUCCUUUAGAUUGAUCACACACAAUUAAGAAAAGCCGCGAAUUGAUUAAACACAAUUCGGAAGAAGGCCUCGGAUUGAUCAAACACAAUCCGGAGAAUAUAUAUAUAUAGCCAAAAAGUUGAUCCAACACAACUUUUGGACCCGCGAAUCAAAAUUCCGGGAUUUUUACUUGCACGCACAAAAUGACAAGCAUAGAAUGGAGAUGAAGAAGAGGGAAGAGACUUUAUCCCUCUGAGUUAUUGGAAUUUAAAACUACUGAACUUUGAAAACUUACUUGCUAGUUUGCCAAAUAAACUGCGUUUAUAUGAGCUGCUUUGCAAUUUUCAUGCUUAAUUCCACGUGCGUGCGGCGAAGUUGCUCGCGUAUUUCAAUUCUGAUUCGUCACGCAAUAAUUUCAUGAAAAAUAAAACAUAUGGUUAGUCCUAUAAACCAUAUAUAAUAUAUAGAAAUAAACAAUAAAACUAAUUGAAGAUUGAACGGAAAAAUCAGUCGGAGAUAUGGCCGAAAGUUGCGGUCAGAGUCGGCGAUGGGACGACCGGAAAGUGGCUUGUUAGACGGAGGACGGACAGAGGAGCCGAAGGACUAAAGGUGGAGCUGAGGGGGCUUGAUGGCUUCUUUUUUUUUCCGGAAAAAUAGGUAGGAUUGUUUUUCGGUUAUCAGCUCGGGUUAGAGCAAAGUGCAUGAAAACGUGUUUAAGUAUAAACUGUAGAGACAAAAAGAGAUAGCAAGAGAAUAGAGAAUAGAGAAUCGUGAAACAGAUAUAUCUUAUUUAUUGAUAGACGCUCUUUAUAUAUGAGAUUACAUAGUACCAUUCCGGUAUAGAUAAGAAAAACAUAAUCUUAUUCUACCCUAUAAACCUGUCACUAUACGAAAUAUAGAUUCCUUAUCCUAGUCGCAUAAGGGCAAGACACACAUUACGGAAUAUCCUAGAACAAUCUAGGAUAUAUUACCAUUAGCAAGGCUCAAUUUUCGUAACACAUGCGGGCAACUAUAAUGUAAGCGAACUGCAUAAAUGCCCUUGCAGUAAUGCCCUUAUUCAUGUAUUCAGAUUUCAUUUCAGUCUCGAUCUCCCAAAGGCCCUAAGCUCCGUGUCGGGCUGUGGGCUGUGGCAAAGCAACCUGACAAAGCAAGGCGACGGGACUGGAUUUUGAGCCCGAGUCCAGAGAUACUUUGUUGAAGGUGAAUAGCUUUAGAUUAUGAGAUUCUUUUUUGUUAUUCAAGCUCAAAUUGUAUUUUGAUUGUGUAUCUAUAUAUGGAUUUUGUUUUUGUAGAUCUGAUCUCUAUACAUGCAUGUGAUUCGAGUCUCCUCUAGUUUGUACGAAAUCUGAAGUUGAACCAUGCUUUUGGUGCGAAAUCAUCUAUUCAAACUUACCAAGGGUUAAUGGUGUCUGAUUUUUGUCUCUGCAUUCAAAUCUACAGAAAUUUGAAGGUAAGUACGCUAUUGAGGUUCAAAUAUAUGUGGCGGUUGCUAUGUGUUUUAAGCUUAUUCAUUAAGUAAAUAUGCUAUUGAGGGUCAGUAGCGUGUUUGCAACGGUGAAAGAAAUAACAGAUCAUGUUUGGACAUGUGCUUGAUUCUUUUGAUGGAAAUCGAUAGUGUCAAUUUUUAUUAAGGAUAUUGAGGUUUAUCUUUUAAGGAGUGCUUGUAUGUUUAAAGGUUUCUCAAGAAAAUUGCCUUGCGGUUCUAAUUAAUGUGGAUUGAACAUUAAGUUUAUGAUUUAGAAACUGACGACACUGUUAUGUGCCUAAAUUGUUUCGGCGUUACAACCUCAUGAGUCAAAUAUUUGUUACUCAUUAUACAUUGUCACGUAAAACAUUUCAGUCAUUUUUUCAGCCGGUAUUGAAAAGAUGGUUUUACGCCUCGGUUUAUUGUAUGGUGGGUAGCCCAUUUUUCUCUUUUUCUUCUCUUUCUGGUCUCUCUUCCCACCUUUCCCCCGCUUCAUUAUGUCUCCCGAUUUGUUUGAAUCAUAAAGUAAUCCUCUUGAAACGCCUCCCUUCCCUCUAAGUAAGUGCUUAAGACUUGUUUAACUUCAUAUUUAUGCCAAGGUCUAUGCCUUAGACUGAACGAUUGAAAUUAAUAAGCAGGUAAAGAUCGCUGCGGUUGUUAUUGGUUGAGGAAGGCUAACUUCUCCUUCCUCCUUUUGAUUUGGAAGAGGAUGGAAAGAAAACAAACGAGCUUUUAUUAUUAUUAGGGGAGUGAAAUUUGCAAUUCUUUUUUUCUUGUUGUGGGCUUAAUCAAAUAAGUGGGUUAGCAGUGCGUGUCCUUCUUUUUGUUCCUGAUCGAUCAUCCCUUAGCAACGAGUCAUUCUUGAAUUAAUUACUGAAAAAUUCUACAAUAUAUUAAUGCAUGUGAAUGAUAUGAUGCAUCAACUUUGUAAAUUGAGUCCUCAAACUAGUAAUAUUAGUCCUCGAAGCUGUAAUAUGAGUCUUUAAAAUUGUAAAAUUUUCUAGUUACAACAUUAGUAAUUAUGUGUCUUUAAAGUGGUAAAAUGUGUGUUUAAAGUGAUAAUUUAGUCCUUAAAGUGAUUAAAAAAUAGUUGUUACAAUUUUGAGGACUCAUUACAACUUUAAGGACUCAAUUACCACUUUGAGGAUAAAUGAGGACUAAUGUUGUAACUAAUAUUUUUUACAACUUUAACGACUCAUAUUACAACUUUGAGGACUAAUAUUACUAUUUUGAGGACUUAUUUUACAACUCGAGGACAAAGUUGAUGCAUCAGAUGCAUUAAUACACCCUAACCUUACCCUUAAUUACUUGCUGAAUUGUACAAUUGGUGAUGUCUUCGAUACGAAAGUAAAACCUUCGUGUGUCUACACACACCUUUUUUAAAUAAAAAGAAAUCUUUUACAACAUUUUAAAUGAACACUUUUUCACGGUCUCUAAAUAUGUAUGUAGUCAAAUUAUGGGACAUUGGGCUAUAUGUGUAUCUUACAUCCAUAAUUUUGUUGGUAUAUAUGGGCAUAUGGCUGUUUAUUAGUAUGUAUAUAUAUAUGCAAUAAUUUGGAAAAUAUUCAUACCAUACACAUAUUAUUCAUAAGAAAGCUAUUUUGAAUCAUGGCAUGUAUCACAUUGUAUAUAUAUACAUAUGACGUCGUAUUGAAGUAGACACUUCCUUUCGCGCCAAGUAACGCAUUUCAUUCCGACAUGUCAAAUUUUAGUCAUAUGUGUAGACACACAAAUAACGUACUGGCCUAGCUAUCACCUCCCACAUCACCCUCAAACGGCUCAAAGUCCAAAUCACCAACUACCCCAACUGACCCUCUCACGACCUCACCCCAAAUAUGUAUAUAUUAUUUAGGUUUGUCUAUCAUACCAUAUAGUAUGAUAUACAUAUUGCAAAUGUGUAAUUUAAACUCUCUCUAAGAAUAUAACCAAAGUUCAAAUGCAUGAUGCACAGAACCACUCAGUAAAUCCAAAAGCACUCUAUGAUACUUUAUUGCAAGAUCAUCGUCACCAACGACGUAAAUCUAAAUGGCGUCUACCUGUACCAGUAGAAAACUUCAGAAACAAAAGCAAGAAAAAGACCAGUUCUGAGUCUUCUUCUUUGCUGGUCUUCUUCUUCUAGUAAUAUAUGUCACAUUUUCACUAUAAUGUAUUUAAUUUUAAUUCGUCAGUUGACUGUAGGCAACUUCUCAUUGCCUCCUUUCAAACUCGUGGAAAUGCAUCGCAGCCAUUAUUGCUGAGACAAGUCUUGGCCGGAAGAUGAAAAUAAAGAAAAAGAGUAUGUCAUCGUUUCCUGCGUUCAUACUACAACAGAGGCUGAUAUAUUGAUAUGCUACCCUCUAUAUAAGCUAUCGUCGAUAUGAUACGCUCCCAUUGCAGCUUGAUCGCAGCUCAAAAAUGUUGAAGCUUUCCAGCCUAUUAAUCUUGUUUUGCAGCAUCGUUCUUGUUUUGCAUUCCUACCAAGUGACCUCACAUGAAAAUGAAGUUGGUAAGGGCAAAGCAUACAUAUUGCAUAUACGUGCUCCAUACGUAUAUUAAACAUUGAUUAUUUUUCAUGAUAUUGUAUAUCUUAAGAACGUUCAGAAAGAAAUAUUUCCAUGUUCAUGAUUGAUGAACGCCUUCAUAUGGUUAUUGUUAUCAAUAUUAGAGUUUAAAAUGAUGGUUUAAGUUACUAAUUGGAUAUUAGAUUUGAGGAUAUUAGUUGUAUCAAUCUGAAUAUUUGAGAUACUAAAAAUGAGUUAUUAAUUUCAUGUGUAUUAUUAUUGACGGUGCAGAGGAUGAGAGUGAGUUUAGUUAUGACGAAAACAGUGAGAAGGGGCCUGCUAGAUGGGGGAAUAUACGCCGCGAAUGGAGCAUGUGCAACAAUGGAUUGUUGCAGUCUCCGAUCAAUCUGUCAGAUGACAGAGUUAAUGUAAUCUCAGAUUUAGGGGCACUACAGGGUAGCUACAAGGCUUGUAAUGCCACUCUUAAGAAUAGAGGCCAUGAUAUUAUGGUAAGAGAAAACGAGAGAGAACUUGAAGUUGAAUUUGGUGUUACGUGAUUCUAAUUCUAUCUCUAUAAUUUGUUGUUGCAGUUGAAAUGGCAAGCUGAUGCAGGAUAUAUUCCUAUCAAUGGAACACAUUAUAGCGUCAGACAAUGCCACUGGCACUCACCUUCGGAACACAAAAUCAAUGGCAAGCAGUUUGAUUUAGAAGCGCAUAUGGUUCAUGAUGGUCCCAAUGGAAGCAUCGCUGUUAUCGGAAUCCUGUAUAAGAUUGGAAAACCUGACCCAUUUUUGACACAGGUAAUCAUACUGCUCUCUCAUCCACGGUCCGGCCUGCAUGUAACUCCGGUGCAUUUGCAUAUACAAGGGAUAUUAUCAGCAAAUGUAAUCAUGCAUUUACUCAUUUAGCACUGUCUUAUAUGUGCUUGUUGUGCUUCAUUCUGUUUCUGCUUAGAUGAUGGACUACAUAGAAGACUUAUCUGAGAGCAGUGGAGAAGAGAAGGUGAUUGGUAUGGUCGAUCCAAAGCAAAUAAAAACUGUCAGCACAAAGUACUACAGAUAUAUAGGCUCUCUUACAAUUCCUCCUUGCACACAAAACGUCCUCUGGAACCUUGUUGGAGAGGUUUACUUUCCUACACUUUUCCAUUUGUUUAACAGUGUUUAUUGUCAAAACUAUAUCUGAAGAAUCUUUUUUAACUCAUCAGGUGAGGACUGUCUCUAAAGAACAGGUCGAAUUCCUCCGUGAGGCUGUUCACGAUGUAAGUUCGAUUCGAUUGCUACCCUAUAAAGUGUCUGAUAUUCUCUUGCCGUAUAUAUGUGCUGCAUGUUAUGCUGUCACUGAUAAAAUUGAGAUAUAUUCAAUACUGAUGUAAAGAAUUUGCAGGAGUCGGAAACUAAUGCAAGACCACUACAACCGAUAAACACACGCUCAGUGAGACUCUAUAAUCCCAGUACAGAGGAACAGGAUUGAAUGUAUCCAGGACUUUGUGGCUCAAGCAUAAUUGUCUAUCACUUGUGGAGCGGUUUAAACGAAAGUGAGGAAGGACGCAUAGAAUAGGCUAAAUAAACAAAGAUAGUUCAUUAAGAUUUCUCUAGCAGAAACUUAAUUUUUACACAGGUUUUAGUUUCUUGAUCACUUAUAUCACCUUUUGUAUCUGCACAAAUCGGUCAUGUUCACCUGGUUAGUUACUGACCAAAUGAUCCAUAUGGUCAACCACCGUUAGAUGUAAAUCUAAGGAUUGAAAACAGAACAACUUAACUUUAAUUAAUACUUCCCACCAUUGGAUUUACAUUCAAGGGUGAUUGACCAUCAUUCCCUUGGUCAGUAACUGACCAUAUGAACGCUACUGCUCUAUGUAUAACUUGUAUUGUCUUUGAGAAAAUAAAGCAAAAAUAUUAUGAGCAUAUAUUUGUUUCUGUACAAUCCCGAAUAGGGUUUCAGAAGCCGAUGGCGUGUCCGCUGGGUGAUUAGCUUUCCUCCUGAUGGCCUGUGAACAAAAGGAUGACCGGGGGCUUCCGGUCUUUCCUCCUCCGAUAAUUAAGUUAGAAUUUGCAAGUGAAGUGUAAUUACUAGCGUAGUAAAUGAUAUCUGACAAGCUGGUGGCUGGGUCGUAUUUAAGGCCCAGCGUGGGUUUUCUUUGCUUGGAAAUCGAUGUGGGACAAUUGCCUUUACUAUUGUUUCAAAUAUAGACCUCCCUUAUGCCUUCUGCAGCCGUCCCCGGUCCAGUGUUGCCACCGAGGUUGAGCCCGGCCCAUCCUGCUUAUGGGCGGGAACCUCAAGGCGGCCUUGGUUGCCUUGGUCGUGGUGGAAUGUCUUCUAGUUUACGGGCUUGGGGAGGUUGUUUUAUGCACAACCAACUACAAGUCCCCCCAAGUUCCCGUUCAAGACACAUCUUGAGUGGGGACUUGCUAAAAUAAGCCCGUAGACCAGUAUAUUUCAAAUGGGCUCCUGCCCAUAGUCCCCCCAAGUUCGGACUCAUGACGUGGGUUAAACGGGUGUUACAUUUUUCCAUGGACAAGGGUAGCGAGCACUUUCCAUAUCCGGUGUUACUACUCGAGUGACGGGGUGUUAACGCCGUCAGUGGUUUAUCAAGCCACUUGCUUUGUUUUUAAAGGGAGGAUAUGUGUGCUCAUGGGCUAUUGCCCGAUUGUUAUGAAUUCUCUUCGGUGGAAUGAUCUCGGUGACACUCACCCGAGAUGUGAAUUUCCUUAGGUGGAAUGAUCUCGGUGAUACUCACCCGAGAUAUGUCUUUCACUUUGAAGUUUGUGCGUUGCUAUGAUAGGUGCAUUAAAUGCAUAUUCCUGGGGAUAACUGAAGAGCAAUUAAUGCACGUCACUUCAUUCUUUCCUUCUUCAAGAAGCUACAGCGGUUUAAGCCACGUGGCAUCAUCUUGCGGUUUGAUCGGACGGUUUGGGGUGCCUCAUUUUCGGUUAAGUGGUUUUUUAAUGCGCUCUUCCGUGGAUCGAGGCGGCUUCUCAGUAUAAACUCUCCCCCCCCUCUUCGCCUUCACUCUUCUCAGGCUCUUCUCACUGUUUUCUAGUUUCUCUGGUUUCACUCUCUUUUCUGCUUUCGCCGCCUAUUUCUGCGUCCGUGUUGUGUUGCCGUGAUUGUGAGGUGUUAUAUUCCUGCUGAGUUUCCGGUGCUGCUGUGACGUCGUAAUUCUGGUAAGUUUCUGCGCCGGUUUGUACUUCUGUUCUUUUGCACUUUCGUUUAUGCCUCGGGCUUUCUUUUGCUUCCUUUGCUUUCAUUUUGUUGCCUGCGUUGUGUUACUUGUAGUGGUUAAAACCCUGGGGACUUUAGGUAGAACUGGGGAUGUUAGUGUUCUAGGGAUUUCAGGGUGUAGGCUUUGUUAAGUUCGUGCAACUCGCGCUUGCUCCCAGCGGGGCAUGCUAAUAGAUCUUAGGGUUUGUGUUAUACUAGGGUAAAUGGAUUCUCGAAGUACUACUGACCUAAGCAGGGCCAGUACAUCCUCUCGGCCGAUAGUGGAUGACGACGAGAGGAUGGAAGAGUACAUAAGUCGGCCAUCCCGCCCAGGUGAAUCGUCUUCGUCGAGGCCCGAACAGGUAACCUAUGCCGUACCCACCUGGAUGUCAAUUGGUCUGCUAGGGUUUUUCACGGCGUCCCGAUGAUCAGCUUCGUUGGCUCUUCGUCUAGGCGUUAUAUCUUGGAGGAUGGCAGUGUGUGCGACGAGCCUGAGAGCAGCAUGACCCUGGCCGAGAUUGAACAAUUCUGGGAAGACUUGGGCAUCCCGCCCACGGUUUCCCUCCAUGGGCUUUAUGAAGGCGAGUUGGCGGGCUGUCCGAGAGACAGCUUCGUUGUUGUGCACGACAACAUGUUCAGGAACGAUUUCUCCCUCCCGCUUCCUUAAUGCGUGCAGUACCUGCUGAGCAUGCUUCAGCUAGCUCCCGAGCAGAUUCCCCCUAACCAGUGGCGCCAAUUGCUUUCCCUUUGCUGCAUGUACUUCUUGUCCGACUUGGGGUGGUCAACUAUCAAUGACUUUCGGGCCCUCUACCGCCUAUCGUACUCGAAGAAGCAAAAUUGCAGCGGGUGUGUUUCAUUUUCCGCUCGGGAUUUUUUGCCUCCUGUUACUGACCUUCCAACGUCCAUCAAUAACAACUGGCGUUCAAAGGUCGUGCUUGCCGGUGGUCGAUGGCAAAGAAACUGCCCCACAUACAUCGUGCCUAACCGGUUUAGGUACAUCCGGGAUCAGUCCUUCUCGCUGACGGAGAUCGAGAAGCGAUGCAUUGCUCAGAUAUUUGCAGCCUGGCCCUCGGAUGAAGAUUGCAGCUCGUACCACUUGACGCGCCGAAAAGUGUUAGUUCAUUGUGAACUCGGCCGUAUGCCUAGUGGGGUUCCAAAUUAGUUUCUCUCAUUUGCUGUUUACUCUUUUCUUUUACCUUUUACUCUUUUGCUUCUCGAGGUCUUGACUGUUGGUUUUAUUUUCAGCUAAAGUUCCCAAGCGUAAACACCGUCCCUCACACCCGCGCGACAUGGACCUGCUGAGUGACCUCUUGGAGGUGGGGAAGGUGGCCUCCCGCACUGAAGUGAAUCUCGCGGACUCUACCGCCCGCGUCUCGGAGAAUGCUAUGCUCUUGGAGUUUCCCGACAAAGGGUACGGGAAGCCGCUGUCUGACACGGAGGCGACCGUGAGGUCCGAUGAUGUAGUCAAUGUCAACUUGGGCGAGAAGAAGAAGAAGUAGACGUCCAAGAAGUCGAAGUCUCAGCGGGACGACGUUGUGACUUUGACUGGUCUGAGCGUGACUGGAGCCUCUCCAACCCGGAAGAAGCAGAGUUCUGCAGGUUCUUCGGCUGGGAACCCAGAUUCUUUGAGCGCUCUCGCUCCAGCUAUUCCUCAAAUCCCAAAGACCCCCAUCCGACAGAUCCUAAACGAGUAUGGGUGUGCUAAUGAACAGUUUGUCCGCAGCAUGGUGGGCGACUUAAAGGGGAUCGAGCUGGAUUGGAUCAGGGUCGGGUCCAACACCUCCAACACCCCCUCAGCAGAACCGGCAAUACGCCCGAGAAGCCAUGAUGAAGGUAAGCUUGUCAUUCCUGAUGUUAAUUGAUCGUCCGAGAUGUUAUGCUUAAUUUCCUAUGUCCUUGUAGGCUCUGUUUGCUGUCUACGCCAUUGAUGCCAGCGAAGACUCCAACGAGAUGAAGGAACGCUUGGCUAGCUUGAACGACCAGAUCAGCUACCUCUGGGCCGAGAAGAAGAAAGCGGAGAAAGACUUGGAGGCUGAGAAGAAGGAGAAGUUCUCUGUCAGGACCUACCCCGGAUUAUUAGGUUAUCCGAUUCCUGUCUUUCCUUAUCACUACCAUAUAUGCUUAGUAACACUUAGUGUUAUUAGAGUGAUGGUCCGACCGCGGCGGAUCCAUUAGCAAUUUAUGCCUGUAUGCUAAGUGUUUAUUAAGUGUGUGAGUAGUUGUCCUUUUCUUGUCUCUUGUGCUAAAUAUUUUAUUCUCAGGUAAUUAACAUGUCUCCUCGCCGAGCUCCUAGGCAGAAUCAUCCAGGGGGGGAUGAUGAGGAAGCACAGGGUGGUUUUAUGAAUGCCAUGGAGGAUUUCACUAGCAUGGUCCCUAUGAUAAAUUAUGAUAGAGCUUACAAGAAUGGUGCUAGAGCGUUUAGCCAUGCCGUUGAGCCAUUGGAUGCUCAGAAUUGGGUAGAGACCAUUGAGAAGAUGUUUAUUCAGGUGAGGUGCCCAAAGGAUAUGAAAGUGGGCUUGGCUACUCAGUUUUUGGAGAAGAAAGCUUGGCAUUGGUGGCUUGAUAUGAGUAGAGGUAUGGGUGAAGCUGCAAAUCAUAUGUCUUGGGAUCAGUUUAUAGCUCUUUUUAGAGAGCGCUAUAUUAGUCAUGCUCAUGUCAACCGAAUGAGGGAGGAGUUCUUGAAUCUGCAGAAGGGCGAUGACAUGACAGUGAUGGGUUUUGAGCAGCGAUUCCGGGAGUUGUCCUAUUAUGUGCCUGAUUUGGUGAGGACAGAGCAGGAGAAGAUUUAUCAGUUCACCAAGGGUCUUGGUGGUAUUUAUGCAAACAGGAUGACAGCGGUGCCAUAUCAGUCAUUUCACUAGGCUAUGACUUUUGCUCUGAAUAUUGAGGCCCAAGAGUUGGCAGCUGGUCGUCUUCGUGAUUCUGGUGGUCAUAGCCAGGGUUCAUCAAGGAAAUUGACGUCCACUUCAGGUUCUGAUUCAUCUUCUGGUAGUGGACAUGGUAGCAGUUCGAGUCCUGGCUCCGGUUUCAGAGGGAAGUUCAAGAAGCAUGGUAAUAGACCCUUCAAGAAUUUUAUUGGGCGUCAGCUUGGGCGAUUCAGGAGUGGAUCGAGCAGUAGGAGUGGGACCUCUGGUGGUUAGUCUUUUCAGUCUGGACAGAGUCCGUUUCAGUCAGGGGGGAUGUUUUCAGUGUGGUUAGCUGGAUCACUUCAAGAGGGAUUGCCCUCUUCUGACUCAGGGAGCUACAUAUGCUCUUACUCAGGCCAUGGGUCAGACUUCAGCUGGUGGUUCUAGUAGGGGUUCACGCGCCAUGGCUCCAGCUAGAGGCAGCUUUCAGCCGGGCAGAGGACAGAGAGGUCGUCCUGCCACUACUUAUGCUAGGCUUCAUGCCAUGACUCAGCAGGAGGGACGUACCUCCCGGAUGUUAUCAUUGGUACGUUGUUAAUGUUUGAUCAUCUUGCUUUUAUAUUGAGAGACCCUGGAGCGACGCAUUCCUUUAUGUCUAGUAGAUUUUCAUUUCUCGCCAAUGUGCCAUCUUCGCCACUUCUAGGCGAACGGCAGGUUUCCUUGCCCUCCGGUGAUGUGAUGAAGAUAGAUUGGGUAUUUAGAGGUUGUGAAGUGUUGAUAGAGGGUCUUAGUUUUGAAGUUGACUUGAUUCCAUUAGAUAUUGUGGAGUUUGAUGUAAUCUUGGGUAUGAACUUUUUAGAGGCACAUAGAGCUAUGAUUGAUUGUUUCCGGAAAGUAGUAGUGUUGAGAAGUCUUGGGAAGCCUGGGGUUACAUUUCAAGGUGAGCGAGAUGUUAUCUCAAGUUGUUUGAUUUCGGCGGUUGCUGCUAGGAAAUUGUUGAAUAAAGGGUGUCAGGUGACGGGUGCAAAACCUGCAUCAAAUAAACCCUUUUUAUCGUUAGUAGCAUUGAGUAAGUAGGGUAUCGUAUAGGGCCGGGGAUUGAGGGUACCUUGCAAAACAAAGCGUUAGAAAAACACAACAAAUAUUAACAAGUAAUAAAACCUUUAAACAAUUUACAAAAGUAGCUACUGUUCCAUAGAACAGCAGUCGAAAACCUAAUUAAAAACCUAACCUAAACUACUCAGAAAAAUAUGAAAAUUUACAGAGAUCUACUAGACACACAGAGGAACUACUGUACAAAUUUUCAGGGGAUUCGGAGAUCGUUUGAUACGAAAAUAAAUAAAAGAAAACAGAGAACAGAAGAGUGACGAAAAUCCUAAACUAAAAAGAAACAAAACCUAAGCUACUAUAUACAUGUGAUCGUCUCUUUUGCACACAAGAAAAACACUAAAUCAGAUUCAUAUAAUCAAGUAGCUAUGUAAUUUNNNNNNNNNNNNNNNNNNNNNNNNNNNNNNNNNNNNNNNNNNNNNNNNNNNNNNNNNNNNNNNNNNNNNNNNNNNNNNNNNNNNNNNNNNNNNNNNNNNNNNNNNNNNNNNNNNNNNNNNNNNNNNNNNNNNNNNNNNNNNNNNNNNNNNNNNNNNNNNNNNNNNNNNNNNNNNNNNNNNNNNNNNNNNNNNNNNNNNNNNNNNNNNNNNNNNNNNNNNNNNNNNNNNNNNNNNNNNNNNNNNNNNNNNNNNNNNNNNNNNNNNNNNNNNNNNNNNNNNNNNNNNNNNNNNNNNNNNNNNNNNNNNNNNNNNNNNNNNNNNNNNNNNNNNNNNNNNNNNNNNNNNNNNNNNNNNNNNNNNNNNNNNNNNNNNNNNNNNNNNNNNNNNNNNNNNNNNNNNNNNNNNNNNNNNNNNNNNNNNAGAGAACAUAUGAACAGCUGCUAUUAGGGUUAGAGAACCUUUAAUUUUCGUCCAUGGGCUCGCCGUUGUGGUCUGGGCCUUGAAAUUGAAGUUCCGGUCCAAAUCAGAAAUUCGGGCAGACUGACCUUUGGUCACUCAAACGGUCAUAACUUGGUCACCGAAAUAGCUAUUGACGAUCUGCGAAAAGUUCUGAAAACUAGACUCUUCUAGCUUUCUGCUGAUAUAAAGUUCAUCUCCUGGAUCGUUGUGAGCUGAUCACAAUUCUCUGUCGAAGUUGACUGACUAUUCCUGGCAGAUUUUAGAUUUCUUUCCUUGCGCCAUAUGGAUUCCUUUUCCUUCAAGAUUUCUCCUCUUUUGCCUCUUUUGUGCUCCUCGGCUUUAUUUGUGACCUAAAAACACAAACUAAGUUAAAAUCAAUAUUGUUAAAGGAAUUACAUAACUAAAUAGGGUCGGAAAUACAUUAAGAACGUUACAUAGAAUGCACCUAUCAUCAGGCUUAUUUAGCUCAUGUGGUGGAUACUAGAAAGGGAGAGGUGAGAAUGGAAGAUAUUCCUAUAGUUAAUGAGUUUCCUGAUGUUUUUCCAGAUGAGUUGCCUGGUUUGCCUCCUGUAAGGGAGAUAGAUUUUUCCAUUGAGCUACUUCCUGGAACGGCGCCUAUUUCUCAAGCGCCUUAUAGAAUGGCACCUACAGAAUUAAAAGAGUUAAAAACUCAAUUGCAGGAGUUGGUGGAUAAGGGUUUUAUUCAGCCUAGUAUGUCUCCUUGGGGUGCUCUAGUGUUAUUUGUCAAGAAGAAAGAUGGCACUAUGAGACUAUUUGUGGACUAUAGGAAGUUAAACCAAGUUACGGUGAAGAAUAAAUAUCCUUUGCCCCGCAUUGAUGAUUUAUUCGAUCAGUUGAGGGGUGCCACAGUCUUUCCAAAGAUUGAUUUGAGAUUAGGAUAUCAUCAGUUGCGGAUUCGGGAAAGUGAUAUAGCCAAGACUGCUUUUCGAUCACGUUAUGGUCAUUAUGAGUUUAUGGUGAUGCCGUUUGGACUUACUAAUGCACCCGCUGCUUUCAUGGAUCUCAUGAAUAGGGUGUUCCGUCCAUAUCUUGACCAUUUCGUGAUUGUAUUCAUAGAUGACAUCUUGGUGUAUUCGAAGAAUUUGAAGCAGCAUGCUAAGCAUUUAAAGAUGGUAUUGCAGACUUUGAGGGAAGCUCAGUUAUAUGCAAAGCUUAGUAAAUGCGAGUUUUGGUUGGAUAAAGUAGGGUUCUUAGGCCAUGUGGUUUCAGCAGAAUGUGUCAGUGUGGAUCCUCAAAAGAUAGAAGCGGUGACAAAUUGGAAGAGGCCUUCUAGUGUGACGGAGAUUCGUAGUUUCUUGGGGUUAGCCGGUUAUUAUCGUCGCUUUGUCAAAUAUUUUUCAAAGAUUGCUGCUCCUCUUACAAGAUUGACCAGGAAGGGGGUUAAGUUCGAGUGGUCCGAGAAGUGUGAGCAGAGCUUUCAGGAGCUUAAGGAUUGUUUAACUAGUGCUCCAGUUUUGGCACUCCCUGAUGAUAGUGGGGAGUAUGUGGUUUAUUGCGAUGCUUCUAGGCUGGGUUUGGGUGGUGUAUUGAUGCAACAUGAAAGGGUAAUUGCUUAUGCUUCUAGGCAAUUGAAGUCGCAUGAAGGGAAUUACCCCACCCACGACCUAGAGCUUGCUGCAGUGGUUUUUACAUUGAAAUUAUGGAGACAUUAUCUCUAUGGAGCCAAGUGCCAGAUCUUCACCGACCAUAAGACCCUUCGGUAUGUGUUCACUCAGAGAGAAUUAAAUACGAGGCAAAGAAGGUGGAUGGAGUUGAUUAAAGAUUAUGAUUGCAUUAUUGAGUAUCAUCCUGGAAAAGCUAAUGUAGUAGCGGAUGCUCUUAGUCGCAACCCUUCUAUGUCCUUAGCUUAUAUGCGGACGGUUCGGGUUCCACUUCUUUAUGAGUUGUGAGCUACAGGAGUGGAGUUGUCAGUGGAUGAGAUUGGUGCUUUGGUAGCCAGUUUCCAUGUGAGGCCAGUUUUGAUUGAUAAAGUGCAUGAGGCUCAGUAUAAUGAUCCUUCUAUAGUUCGGUUGAUAGAAAGAGCACUUAAUGGAACAGCAAGGGAUUUUUCUGUGAGGAGAGAUGGAGCCUUGUUGUUUAAAAACAGGCUAUGUGUUCUGAAGAGGAACUUGGAGUUGAAACAGGAGAUAAUGGAGGAAGCUCAUAGUUCUGCUUAUGCUGCUCAUCCUGGUAGUACUAAAAUGUACAGGACCUUGAAGGAUUUUUAUUGGUGGCCCAAUAUGAAAAGGGAGAUUGCUGCUUAUGUAAGUAAGUGUUUGAUUUGUCAGCAAGUCAAAGCUGAGAGGCAGAAACCUUCUGGUUUGCUAGAGCCAUUGCCUAUUCCUAUAUGGUGAUUGUGGAUCGAUUAACAAAGUCCGUACAUUUUCUGCCAGUGGGGAAGAAGUAUAAAUCGAAUAAAUUGGCGGAACUUUAUGUGAAUGAAAUUGUGAGACUCCAUGGUGUGCUGAGUCUAUUGUUUCUGAUCGGGAUCCCAGAUUUGUUUCUAAAUUCUGGGGAGCUUUGCAGACAGCUUUGGGCACUCAGUUGCACUUCAGCACAGCUUUUCAUCCUCAAACGGACGGGCAGUCGGAGAGGACCAUUCAGACCAUGGAGGACAUGUUGAGGUCAUGUCCUAUGCAAUUCAGAGGGAGUUGGGAUAAGAAUUUGUCCUCGGUAGAAUUUGCCUACAACAACAGUUUUCAUUCUAGCAUAGGUAUGACUCCCUUUGAAGGGCUUUAUGGGCGGCAGUGUUGUAUACCUCUAUGUUGGACUGAGGUGGGAGAAAAAGAGUUUUGUGGUCCAGAGAUUAUCCAGGAUACAAAUAAGAAGAUCAAGAUGAUUAGAGAAAGGCUUAAAGCAGCUCAAGAUAGGUAGAAGAGUUAUGCAGAUAACCGUAGAAAGGACCUUGAGUUUCAAGUGGGUGAUCGGGUAUUUUUGAAAUUAUCCCCUUGGAAGGGAGUAGUGCGUUUUGGUAAACAGGGAAAGCUUAGCCCGAGGUAUAUUGGUCCUUAUGAGAUUUUAGAGCGGGUUGGCACAAUUGCUUAUCGAUUGGAGCUACCUUCAGAGUUGUCCAGGAUACAUAAUGUAUUCCAUGUGUCCAUGCUGCGCAAGUAUAUUGCCGAUCCCUCUCAUGUCUUGCAAGAGCAGCCGAUAAGUUUGAAGAAAGAUUUGACCUAUGAAGAGGAACCGGUUCAAAUUCUUGAUCGGAAGGAACAAGUGCUUAGGAGCAAAACAAUUUCAUUGGUUAAAGUUCUGUGGAGGAGUCAUCAAAUAGAGGAAGCCACUUGUGAACCGAAGGAGUUAAUGAGGCAACAAUAUCCUUAUCUCUUUGAUUGACAGGUAUGUAAAUUUCAAGGACGAAAUUUUUAUAAGGAGGGGAGAAUUGUCACACCUCGGUUCUUAAGUUAUUUUACGGUUAUUUACUUUGGUAUUAUUUUGGUCUUUUACCGUGUUAAGUCACCGUUUACCACUUAAGGACCCUAGAGUUGACUUUUUCUUGCGUUUGGAAUUUGGGAAAACUUUCUUCAUGAAAGUCGUAGAGGACGUUUUUAGGAGUUCGUAGACAUGCUAUGUGUUAAAAUCGGAGUUAGCAUGAAAAAGUUAUGAAAUAAGAGAGUAAUUUUAUGAGAUGGUAAAAGGGGGUAAAUAUUAAGUGGGUAUAAUUUUUGGGUUUAAGUUUUAUGGACCAGGUGUGGGCAGCCCAACACCCCCCACUCACCCCCCUCACUCCCUCACUCACGCUCUCUCUCUUUUCCUCCCUUCUCUCCCGAGCCCCCAUCCCACCGGAAGUCUCCAACUCCAGCUGCCGCCGUCCGGCCAGCCACCAGCUGCCAGCCCACCCCAGUUCUGACCCCCAUCACCUCCUCUCUCUCCCCGGCCUAGCCCCCGAGCCGUUAGCCCGCCGGAAGAGGAGAAAACUCGCCAGAGACGCCGGGAAGCUUUUUGCCGGAAAUCCCACCUCCGGCCACCAUAGGUCAGAAUCUUUGGCUCAUCUUGUAGCUCUCAUCAAGGUGAGUAUUCUCUCAAAAGGAAUUAAUCUAUUUCGUUGUUGUUAUGGAGAAAUGUAUAAUUGAAGUUUUUAGGGAUUUAUAGAAGUUUUGAUUCGUUUGCUCUAGUUAGCCUUAGAAAUGGACUAAGUGCUAGUUAUGAAUGUUGUUGAGCAUGAUGAGAGGAAUAUUCUGUGAAAAUUUGAGAAGCAUUGGCCCUCACCGGAAUCCGGCUGCGGGCCGCCGGCGCCGGCGCCCCUUAGGGGCAGUUUUUCAUGUUUUUGGGUUUAUUUUCAUGAGAGGAGUUUAAUGAAGUAUAGUUUGAAUUUUUUGGAGGAGAUUUGAUAAGGUUUAGGAUUUAUCUAUAAUUAAGGAUUUAGGCGGUUAGUCGAAUGGAAAUCCGGCAGUUAGUUUAGUAGAUUUUAAAGUCUAAAAAUGUUAAAUUAUGGCUUUCGGUAAGUGCGGAGUAAUGUGAGCCUUAUUAGGUAAAAAGUGGAGAAGUUGGGCAAGAGAAAUGAAAUUAUAGGCUUCCUUUUGAUUUCGGAAAUUUUAUUAAAGUUUUGUCCUGGUUUGGAGGCGUAAUGAAUAUUUAUUGUUUAGGACGUGAGGAGGAUCAUUUGGAGGAAGCCUUGGGCCGUCGGCAAGCAUAGCCGAGCACUGUGAGUGGACCUUUGAUUUUAAUAUCAUGCAUGCACUAAAGUUAUGUAAUUUCAAAGGCAUUUGGAGAUAUAAUAUUUUGUUGGAUUAUCGAGUUCCACUUAUUUUUCCGGAACUCUCUUGCUAAUUUUAGUUGACACGUGGGACGUGUCAAGUGUUUUAUAUUAUUUCCAUGUACAGUUGGGAACUGUACUGUGCGCUAUGAGUUUAUUAUAAUUUAUUCGGGGAAGUGUGGAUCUUUGUAUUUUAAUAUUGUACUUCACCAUAAAAGGGUUGAUAUAUAGAUUAUUGCUAGCUAACCUUAUUAGCGGUCCUCAUCAUAUGUGAGUCGCUAUUAUAGUCUUAUUAGCGGUUCUCAUCAUAUGUGAGUAGAGCACUUAGCGUGGGACGCUAUUAUAGCCUGGGAGGCAACCGAUCGGUAUAUAUAUAUAUUUAUUGUUAGCUAGCUAUUAUUUAGCGGUCCUCAUCAUAUGAGAGUUGAGCGCUUAGCGUGGGACGCUAUUAUAACUUUAUAAGCGGUCCUUAUCAUAUGUGAGUAGAGCGCUUAGCGUGGGACGCUAUUAUAGCCUGGGAGGCUCAUUGUUAUGGUGAAACCUCUUCCCUAUUUUUAUUGAUUUAUUGGGAACCAAUGGGAUUAGUUCAUUAGUUUUGUUUAUAAUUAUUUUCGGAAAGAUUUUCAAGAAUGGCAUGCAUAAAUAUUUUCUCAAUGGAAAAUAUGGGAAAAACAUUAAAUUGAUUUCAAUGCUCUAUCAUUAAGUCCGUACUUUUUAAUAUUUAUUUUGUCCACUCACUCUAACGUUUUAAAUGUUUUCCCCUGGGUCUUUCGUUUUAAAUGCCCAGUCUGCAGAGCUCUGUUCGGCGAGAGUAGGAGGCUUGUCAUAUUUCCCACCUCAUCCAGUUUUCUCUCAUAGGUUACUAGUUAACCUACCUAUGUAUUUCCUUCUUUCCUAGUAGAUGCUCUGAAUAACCUUGGAAUGUUUUAAGUGUGGUUGUUGUUAUUGUGGUGUUAAGAGCUUGUGACUCCACCUAGGAGUGUUGAAAAAUGUUUAUUUGGCAUGUUAUAUGAGAGAUUAAAUUCAUGAAAUUAUUUUGAUUUAUUAUGUUAGUUGAGGUGGUGGAUGUUUAUUUGGGGGAGCGGAUGGCUCCAGAAGAUGUGGAUUAAAUUGUUUUAGAAGUGUUUGGGCUUUGGUGAUUUUUCUUUCAGGUAGGGUUACUCAUUUUCAAGGGAGGUUAUGCCAAAAUUUUGGUAGAAUUUCCCUUGAGGUGGGUCCCGCAGGGUUUAUUCCGGAUUUCAAGGGGAAAUCCGGGGUAGAACCUGACAUUCUCUCUGGCCGACAAAUUCGCCAAACUUAGCCUACACACCAAGGAGUUGGAGGGAAAGGCUAAGCGGGUGGUUGCCUUGGAGUACGAAAUAGAUGCGCUUCAACGGGAGAAUGCCAAGCUGCGGUCUAAGCUGAAAGAAAUAGACGACCAGAUACUCGAUCUGCAGGGCCAGAUUCCUACUCAAGUUGAACUUGCCAUUGCCAAAUUCAAGGAGUCAGAUGAGCUGAAGGACAUGCUCAAAGCAGCCCGGGAGGGGGGCAUCACCGAGAAGUUCGAUGAAUGGAGCCGCCUAGGUUAUCUGGACAAGACGAAGAUGACUGCCGAUCUGAUCACUGCCCGAGAGGCCAAAGAGAGGGAGGCGAAAUCCAAGGCGGCUGCUGAGAAAGAGCCGGAGAAGGAAGGGGAGUCGACAGGCGAGCCGUCUGAGAAGGAUGCUGAGAAGAAUGCCGAGUCGUCCGAGGACGAGGAAGAGGACGGCCAUGAGGCAUAAAUUGUAAUUUGCCUUUUUUGUUGCUUUUGCAAGACAAUGGCCUCGUGCCCUAUCCUGGUGAUGCUACAUCCUGGGUGUUUUUGUAAAUACCCAUUGGUGGUAUACUCCCCGGCUGUCCGGGUUUUGAAAUAUUAUGCAUUUUCUUAUCAUAUGUUAUAAUAUUGGAUUAUGCCUAUCUUGGUAAAAUGCCUAUCCCGUUUGUUACUAGGAAUAUUAUUAAUUGUGUCUCUCAUUGGCUUACCUAUCCCGCUUGGUGUAACUUGAGAUUUUAAUAAGUAUGCCUCUCGGUGGAUUACCUAUCCCGCUUGGAUUACAUUGGGAUUUUAAUAAAUUAUGCCUCUUGGUGGAUUAUCUAUCCUGCUUGGUGUUACUUGGGAUUUUAAUAAUUAUGCCUCUCGGUGGAUUAUCUAUCCCGCUUGGAUUACCAUGAGAUUUUAAUAAAUUAUGCCUCUCAGUAGAUUACCUAUCCCGGUUAUGUGGUGCCCUGUUUAUUUACUGCCUGGGUCAUUAUUCAAGCAUUAGAGUAUUUGAAUUUAACUUCCCGAUUCCUAUAUUAAGUCUUUCAAAACCAAUGGAGGCAUCCUCCGGGACAUGUUGUUAUCCCGGGGGCAACAGUACUUACAAAUAUACAGUUACAAAGAUGGGUCUCGUCCCCCCUUUUACACUGGGUAGAAUUCCAGGGGCGCCCGGUGACUAUCCUAUCUUGGCGGAGAAAGAAAGUUGCUGGGCCGACCUCUUCAACAAUCUCGUACGGCCCUUCUCAUAUUGGAUCUAAGGCCAAUGGCUUGGUCAUGAUUUUCUUCAUUACCCAGUCCCCCAGUCCGAACGUCAGGGCCCUGACUUUACUAUUGUAAUGGCAUGCAACUCGCUGCUUAUAGACUUGGUUGAGCAAAUCGGCUCUUUCUCUCCUUUCCUCGACGAGGUCAAUGUUCAACUAGAGGCCUUCCUCAUUAGUCGCGGCAUCAUAGUUCUCGAUCCUUCCCGAUGGUAUUGACGUCUCAAUUGGCAAGACAACCUCUAUGCCAAAGGCCAUGUAGAAAAGCGUUUCUCUCGUUGAUUCUGUUGCUGUGGUUUUGAUUGCCCAUAAUACCUCCGACAGCUUUUGUGGCCACAGACCCUUGGCGUCAUCUAACUUCUUCUUCAAAAGCUUUUUAAUGAUUUUGUUAACUGCCUCCACCUGACCAUUGGUCUGUGGGUGUGCCACCGAUGCGAAGACCAUCUUGGUGCCUUUUUCCUCUGUGAACUUGAUCAGAUGGUCAUUGUUGAAUUGCGUUCUGUUGUCCGUGACGAUUAUCUCCGGGACCCCGAAUAUACAAUAUAUGUUUUUCAUCAGGAAAUUUUUCACGCACUCAGUGGUUAUCUUCCCUAGGGACUCCACCUCCACCCACUUCGUGUAAUAAUCAACGGCUACAAUCACGAACUUGAACUGCCCUGGUGCAGUUGGCAGCUUCCUGAUGAGGUCCAAGCCCCACUGUGCAAAAGGCUAGGGCGACAGCAAGAUUGAUAAGGUAAUAGGAGGGGAAUGUGUCUCGUUGGCGUGCAAAUGACAUUUAUGGCAUCUCGCCGACAUUUUAUCUGCCAUGGCGCCCAUGUUGGGCCAGAAGAACCCUGUUCGGAGUGCCUUAUGCACUAACGACCGAGAUCCAGAGUGGUUCCCGCACACCCCCUCAUGUAUUUCCCCUAUGAUCGCCUCGCCUUCCUCUGCUAUUACACACUUCAGGUUUGGAAAACUGUAACAUCUGCGAUAUAGCUUCCUGUUCAUGAGUGUGUAUCUGACACAUCUCGAUUGCAGUUUUCGUGCUGGCCGCUUGUCCUCCGGGCGCUCCCUUUCCUUCAUGAACUCGAUUAUGGGAUUCAUCCACGUAGGUUCUCUAUGACGAGUCAAAAAUUUUAAUAAGUAUCUAAAAUAAUUUUCUGCAUACUCUAAUUUGCUGGUUUACUAUAAAUAUAUAUAUAUAUAUAUAUAAAUAUGUGUUUAUAGGUAUAAUUGUGAUUUUAUAUAUGUGUGUAUUUUGUUUGAUUUAUUUAGUUAGGAAAUUUAUCCUUAGCCCAUAAAUUAGAACUUAGCCCAACACCAUUUGACCCGACCCGAGCCCAAACUUAAUAACCUUUCUUUUAGCAAUCAGGUCACAGAUGGAAGAACAAGAACAUGCGACAUGAACUCAAACCUUUGUUUUUCUUGUUCAUCGUCUUCCUCUCAACCCAGAACAUUCUUGAUUCGAAUCCUUGAUCAAACUCAUCAGAAACCUUGCUAAGCCGCCCUUAAACCCAGAAAAUAUCCUAGGAAAAUCUUAAAUAAUAGCAGCCGACCUUGCCAAGCAGGAGGUGUCAAAUUCUCAGAGCUCGAUCGAUGACUCCUUCAAGCUAUUUUGCAGGAGCUGGAACCCUAGGAGCCUAGAGGUGGUGGGUCUAGGAGCUAUACGGGUAAGUACUCAGUUGAACAAAUCGAUUUUUGCUUCCUGUGUUCAUAUCUUAGGGAUUAAGUUUCUAGACUCUAUAAAUAGCUGUUUUCAGUAUUUUGGAGAUAGGUCUUCUAGCAAUCCCCAUACUUAGAGUGAGGGAGAGAUACCUUGGUGUAGGAACUCAGGUGUGAUUCUAUUUUAGUUUGUUUGUGAAAUUAGAUUGAGAUCACUUUGAGACUUGUGUAUGAUUGUUUCUUUGAUUUGAAAAGUUGUAAUUGAGCAUUGGUUCUGAUUUUGUUGUUGUGAAAAGCUGUGUGUGGUAAGCAUGAUCAUUGAAUUCCUUGGUUAGCCAAAUCAGUUCUCUAUUGUAGAAAAUCAAAUUAUGCAGUGGCUGUUGUGGUUAGGAUCCCAGGUCUUGGAAACUUGCCUUAAAAUUUGAGAUAGACUUGUAUCAGAAUUUUUUUUUUAAAAACAAAAACUGGAGCUGUAUUUGAAAUUCGAAAUUCCAUAAGUAAUUGUAGAAAAAUCCUUUUUGUGUGAUUCCAGUUCCAGAUUGUUCUAUGGGAUGUCUAUUUCAAAUGUUGUGAAGAUACCAUCUUUAAAUUCUCAGCCAAACUAUGUCGUUUUUAGCCUGAAAGUUUACUAAACAAAAAGUCAAGAAGUUAUCUUGUGAUAUCAGAAUUUUGGUUUUUUCAGUUGCACUUUUUAUUUCUUUGUAAUCUUUGUUGUUAUGCAAUCAUAGAUAUAUUGAAUUUAGAAUAUCAUGUAUGUGAUUUGUUUAUGUGUCACACCCCAAUUUUCGAAGGUUAAAAUUUCAAAAAUUUGGGAAUGAUAAAACUCAAAAUCUUAAUAUCCCACAACCUGCUCGACAAUUUUCCAAACUAAAAACAAAUACUGAAAAUGUAAAUGUCAAAUAACUCAUCAACCGAGUUAAACAUUUAUCUCCUUAAUUACAUCAACAACCAAAAGUCUAAUAAUAAACCACUUCGCUCACAUGAGGUUAAAAAAAACAACAGCCAUAAAAUACAAAUAAUGUACGUCGCCUAAAACCCAACUUCUAAGCCACAGCCUCAACCCUGCUGAUCAACACCUGCAGGUCUAACCCCUACACCAUAAAUUGGUGCAUCGGGUUAUAAACAAUAAACCCGGUAAGCUUAAAAAGCUCGUAUGAGUAACUCUCAAAAUAAAACUCAAUAAUUCCAACAUCACAUAAGAUAACGCGAGAAAUUCCUACAUUAAUAACUUAGUUCAAAAAUUACCUAAAAGUAAGAGAAUUCAAAAGAAAUAAUUAAGAGAACACAACAAUUCAAAAUCACUCAAAUCAUAAAUGAAACAAAUAAUUAAAAGGAAACGCAACAAAUCACAAUCAAACAAAUCAUAAUGAAAACCAGCAAAAAGGCAUAGUACAGGAAUUACUUAAAACAAGAAAUUUAAAAUGACAAUAUAUGAGAACAUCACACAAUUAGUUCCCAACCCUUACUUAUGAGUUCGUCAACGCAUAGUCAUCCCUCAUAAGUAAUUAGACAAACACGUACUCAUAGGUUCGUCACCACAUAGUCAUCACCCGGCCAAGGCUUGGUUCCCGGUCCACCAUGAAGGCUCCUAAUCUAAGGCACACAUUCAAAUACUCUCCCAUCAUAACACUUAUCAAAUCACAAAAUAAUAAUAUAAUCAUAACUGUAACCAAUCACCCGAUUAAAGGCUUGGAACCCGGUUUGACUAUUUAAACAACAAUUCACAAUAUAAAAAUAUCAUCAACAACAACACAAGAGCACUUCAUCAAUUAUAUCCUUCCACCUAGAUAUAUUUAUAUAAACAAAGACAUAGAUAUUCCCACUAGAAUAAUCUAUCAACAACCAUAUUUCAACAUCACAAAAUCACAUGAUUGAAAGAUUUAUUUUUAACAGAAAACUUAUUUUCACUUACCAUGAGCCGUUGACGAUCAAGCUCAUUUAUAUUUAAAAACAAAGUCAUUUUCCUUCAAGGACAAUUUCACAAUUAAUAAUAAUAAACUAUAAAGUAAACUCGGUUCUUUUAUGAACCCAAGUGAAAUUUACUCACAAUAUAAAAAUAUCAUCAUCAUAAUCAUCAUUAAAAUCAUUAUCAAUCAUCAUCAUAAUAAUUAUAAUCAUCAACAUUCCCAUCAUUAUCAUCAUCAUCAACAUCCAAAUCAUCAUCCUACUCAUUAUCAUCAUCAAAUUAUCAUAAUAAUCAUCAUCAUCAUCAACAUCCAAAUCAUCAUCAUAAUAAUUAUAAUCAUCAGCAUUCUCAUCAUUAUCAUCAUCAUCAACAUCCAAAUCAUCAUCCUAAUCAUUAUCAAAAUAAAUAGGUCACAAAGUGGACCUUGGUGAGAUUUUACUCACCUAGAAUCCCGCUGCGUCUUCACAUGCACAAGCACAAGCACAAGCACAAGCAUCUAGCUCAAAAAUCAAACUCCACAAGUCAUCCUAUUAACAAAACAUUAACCUUAGUAACUAAACAACGAAAAAGUACCUUUAUCCCCUAAAUCAACCCUUAACCCAAAGGUUCAUCCAAAGGAGGACAACCCUCCUUCGAGACCUCCCAAGGUCGUCGAUCACUUACAAACAACUCUUGUAACUAUCAACCAUGACUUCUAUACUUGUUUUCAUAAGCUCAACAACUUCGCACAAAACAAAAGAACUAACUACAACCUAAUAUGCCUUGCAAGGUCAAAACCUAGCCCCCUAACAUAUCCACAUGCUAGCAAAAACUUAAACAAGCUGAACAAGACACCCAAAAAACCGAACACUGCCAAACACGUUGCCACAGGCAGCGGCGUGUGGGCCCCACUCGCCCAUUAUGAACUACACAAUUCAGACAACCUUCCAAUAGCAAAAAUGAAGUUCAGAACACAGAGAGCAGUUCUUAUACCUGGGGUCAAGAUCAAUUUCUUCGAAAUUGGGUCCGAAACGUCGCCGCAAAUCCACUGCCUCAAACUGCAAAUCUAAACUUCACACUCUCAAAAUCGAAUUGCAAGACACACAAGAGUAAGCUCAACUGAGAAGAAGGAUCGAAACUCACCUAAACUCCACCCCUAAUUGCAGUCGAAAUUGGCAGUUGCAGGCAAGGGCAGCGCCGCUUGCUCCGCCACGCCGGUUCGAAUUGGAGCCACCGAUAAGGUCUGAUAGCUUCACAAAGGAACGGUGACUGCACUGGCUUGGUCGCCGUCGUACGUCGUCGGAGCAAAAGGCAGCGACCGGAAGUGUAGUGGCUUUCGGGCCCAGUUGCGCCGCCGUUGAUGGCUGUCAAGGUCGAAGACUGACACAAACCACUAGAGGAGGACGUGAUGAAUCGAAUGAAGGUUGUUUGGUGGCAAUCCAUCAUCGGACGGCGAAGUUCCCUUCCGGCGAAGGUGGAGGGCGCUGGUAGCUCGGGAGAGAGGGAAAAGAGAGAAAGAAGAGAGAAAGAAAUGGGUUCCGGAUAAAGAAGUGGAAACCUUAAACUUUUCUUAUUUAAACCAAAAUCCCGUAAAGCCACGAACUUCCAUUGACCAUAUCUUCCUCAUACGAGGUCCAUUUUAAGCGUACCACAUGUCUACGAACUCGUAUCGUCGUGCUCUACAACUUUUGUGAAGGAAGUUUUCCGAGAAACCCAACCGAUUAAAAAGUCAACUCUUGACCUUUCAAAAUAUAGCAUUUUCACGGAAAUAAAAAACUCGACUACUUCCAGUCCACUCACUAAACCACAAAACCAUACAACUCUUACUUAAAUAAUUUCCAAAAUAAUAUUAGAAACUAAUAACAAAUUACCGGGGUAUUACAUUAUGAAAUCAAAGGUAAAAAUUAAAGGUUGAGGAUACUUAAAACUAGCUAUAAGAUUUAGAACUACUUGUUUUGCUUCGUUGAGUAGUAGUCUGUGUGAUGCUUGAGUAGGUUCCUUUACACUAAAAGUGUGUGAUUUCUGCUUGUUUAACACCAAAAUGUCUAUAAUAUGUAUCUAGAAGUUUAGUUCUGCAUAUAGUCCAUGGUUUUACUUUCAGAUACUUUAAAUAGGCUUCUAGUAGAAAUUUUCCAGAAAAAAAAAACUCAAAACUGAAGCUGAACUUUGGAAAUUCAUAACUAAUUCUAGAAAAAUCGUUUUAGGGUGAUUCUAACUCUCAUAGUUUCUUCUGUUUGCCUGCUAUAAGUCAUUAGAAGACCUCGAAGUCAAAUUAUGAACAGUUUUGUACAGUUUUCAGUCUGUUUGUAACUGGCACAGAAAAUCAUGUUUAAGUACAGAACAGCAUGUUUUUGUAAAAUACUGUUUUGGUACUUUAUUUCUUGUUUCAGCAGUUUAGCUUAGACUUUUUAACUAAUGAUUCAUCUUUUAUUAGGAGCUUGAAACUUGGGGAACCUCAAUACUUGCUUUAUAUUUUGUUAUGUGAAUUUGACAAGACCCACCCUGAAUUUUACCCUAAAAUCCGGAGUAAAUCCUGCGGGGACCACCUCCAAGAAAGAUAUUACCAAAAAUUCGGCAUAACCUCCCUUGAAAAUGGACAACCCUUCCUAAAGAAAACCUGGAAACACUCCCAAUAAAUUCAAUCCCACCUUAACUCCUGGAGCUUACGUGCUCCCCAAAUAUAACCACCACCAACAACAACACGACAUUAUCCAAACCUCAAUAUAAUUAUCCAAAAGAUAACAUAAAUCCUCCGACAAAUAUUCUAAAAUGUUAACAUGCCUUCGCUCACAACCGAAAUAAUAUUAUACAAUAUCCCCAAGGGAAAAUCAGAGCUACUAGACACUAGAGGAAGCAAGAAAAACACAGGUAGGUUAAUCAGGUAACUUACGGAUGAAAAGUGGUGAAAAAGCGGGUGACUAUGCCUCGUCUCCUAUUAGGUCCAACCCGUACUCUGCAGACUGGGCAUUUUAAAACGAAGGGCCCAGGGGAAAACAUUUAAUAACGUUAGAGUGAGUGGACAAAAAUAAAUUAAUAAAAAAUAUUAAUGCUUCCCCAUUUUAAUUUCCAAAGAAAAUAUACUGCAUGCGGCAGCUCAAAAGUGCUUAACUCAUAAACUGGCAAUUUCACGACUAGCUCCGACUAGUCACCAACUCAAAUAAAAUGGAGCCUCUCAGGCUAAAUUAUAUAUAAUCAUAUAUUCAUAUGUAUUUACAUCCGUCAGACUCCUUGUAUGAAUCCUAGAAACAAUUUAGAAAAAUAGAAAUUCAUACAAGGCUACAACGUUGGCGUCUAACGCUCACGUUGCGCCAUAAUGGUAUUUUUUCUCAUUAUGACCGAAGAGGAAGGUGUAUUUAUAUACGUGUGGACUCCCUAUAUGAAAACCUAAAUAAACCAGAAAAGAAAGUAGUUUUCAUAUAGGGCUAUGACGCUUGUGUCUAACACUCACGUCACGCCAUAAUGACAUUUUACCUCAUUAUGACGGAUCGAGCACGUAGGGCUAGCUAGCAUUUAUAUACAUACUAUACUCAUAAUAUCCACAAACAUAUCCACCGAAAAUCUCAUUUUCGGGAUCUCUCCAAAUGAGGAAAAUUGCCAAAUAUCCGAGAAAGAAAUAAAUCUCAGGAAAAGAAAUAAAUGAUCAACAAAUUAAUUCAUCGCAUGCUUUUCAAUUUAACACAAAGAUCCACUCACAAAUUAGGCCUAAGCCUGAUGACGCUCCGAGGCUUCCUCUGCUCGGGCCUCCUCUUGUCCUGUUCCAAAUAUAUAAUUAAUUUCCCACUAAAAAUCCAAUAAUUAAACACAAUGGGCAAAAUUAAACGUGAGCCUCCCACACACUCAUCAUUGCCCAACUUCGCCAUUCUUAACUCAAAAUGGCUCAAACUUCACCGAACAUACCAGCAGCCCUAAUUCAACCUUCCACAGAUUAAUGACUUAAAUCCUACGGCCGGAUUCUACAUUAAUUAACCGCCAAAAAUACCAAACUUCGGAAAUUCACAAACCUAUCCAAAACUCAUCCGAAAAUUCCAUAAUUCACUUCAAUAAACUCUCCUUAAUAUUCCAAAUUUAAAAACAUUAAAAUCUCCUAACCGGCGGCUGCACCAGCGCCAGCCUCGCCGGCAGCGGCGGCCGGAGGCCGAUUCCGGCAACCUUCAAUUCCUACCAAAUUUUGACAAAAUAAUCCUCUCAUCAUGCUCUACAACUUUCCUAACUAGUACAAACCCAAAAUCCAAUCCUAGUUAUGCCAAUCGAACAAAAACAUAAAAAACGCCCUAGAACUUCCACCCCAAAUUUCUCCUUACCUGAAGCGAACCGGAGUGAGUCCUUUUAGGGCAAGGCAGCUGGGUAGGAGACCUACAAAACCGUAUAUGGCUUGCCCGGAUUGGUGGCCGGAGGAGGGAGUUCCGACGAUGGAACCACCAAGGCAGUCGCCGCUUUCGGGGGAAAGAACUCCUUCACGGCGGAGCUACUGAAUGGGACAACUGAACGGGACCGGUGCGGCAGUCUCAGGCGGCCGGACGGGGGCGGACAAGCGGCCGGAAUGUCUAGCAGCGGGAGGAACUCGGGGAGAGAGAGAACCGGGAAGAAAAGAGAAGAAAGAAAUGCUUUGGGCCUCCACACCCGGUCCAAGUCCAAAAAUAUACCCAACUCCACCAAAAAUUUACACCCCAAAAAUAAUACCCUGAUAAAAAUUACCUUUUACUAGCUAAAAUUUACCAUUUUUACCGUCGUCAUAUUUUUCUCCUAUGAAUAACUCUCCGAAAUAAUCGUCCCCCAAAGCUAGUAUAACCAAGCUAGUAAAUAAGGUAAAAUAUAAGGGUCGGGAUGUGACAAUUCUCCCCUCCUUAUAAAAAUUUCAUCCUCGAAAUUUACAUACCUGUCAUUCGAAGAGAUAGGGAUACUGCUGCAUCAUUUGCUCCUCUGAUUCCCAAGUAGCUUCUUCUACUUGAUAACUUCCCCAAAGCACCUUGACAAGUGGGAUUGUCUUGUUCCUAAGCACUUGCUCCUUUCGGUCUAGAAUUUGAACCGGUUCCUCUUCAUAGGACAAAUCUUUCGUCAAACUGAUCGGCUGCUCUUGCAGCACAUGAGAGGGAUCCGCAAUAUACUUGCGAAGCAUGGAUACAUGAAACACAUAAUGUAUCCUGGCUAAUUCCGGAGGCAAAGCUAACCGAUAAGCAAGUGAGCCAACUCGCUCUAUUAUCUCAUAUGGGCCAAUAUACCUCGGACUAAGCUUCCCACGCUUACCAAAACGUACUACCCCUUUCCAAGGCGAUAGUUUUAAGAACACCCAAUCACCCACUUGAAAUUCAAGGUCUCUCCUACAGACAUCUAGAUAACUUUUCUGCCUACUUUGAGCGGCCUUGAGUCUAUCUCUGACCACUUUAAUCUUCUCAUUCGUAACAUGGAUUAACUCUGGGCCACAAAACUCUUUUUCCCCCACUUCAUUCCAACACAAAGGCGUACGACACUGCUUCCCAUAAAGUGCCUCAAAGGGAGCCAUACCAAUGCUAGAAUGAUAGCUAUUAUUAUAUGCAAAUUCCAUCAAAGAUAGGUUUGUAUCCUAACUCCCUCUGAACUGCAAGGCACAAGCCCUCAACAUAUCCUCCAACGUCUGAAUAGUCCUCUCGGACUGCCCAUCAGUCUGAGGAUGAAAAGCAGUGCUGAAGAGUAAUUGGGUACCUAAAGCUGCCUGAAGAGCUCCCCAGAAUUUAGAAGCAAAUCUAGGAUCCCGAUCCGACACUAUUGAUUCAGGAACACCAUGAAGCCUCACAAUUUCAUUCACAUAAAGCUCCGCCAAUUUAUCCAAUUUAUACUUCUUUCCCACUGGCAAGAAAUGUGCAGACUUGGUGAGUCGAUCCACAAUUGAUCACCCAAAUAUCGUCAUGCCUUUCACGGGUACGAGGUAAACUGAAAACAAAAUCAAUGGUGAUGUGGUCCCACUUCCACACUGGAAUAGGCAACGGCUCAAGCAAUCCAGAAGGCUUCUGCCUUUCAGUCUUUACUUGCUGAAAAAUCAGACAUCUACUCACAUAAGUUGCAAUUUCCCUCUUCAUGUUUGGCCACCAAUAAUAAUCCUUCAAAAUCCUAUACAUUUUUGUGCUACCCGGAUGAGCAGCAUAAGCGGAACUAUGAGCUUCCUCCAUAAUCUCACUCUUUAACUCUUCAUUUCUUUUUGGAACACAAAGCCGAUUCUUAAACAAUAAAGUCCCAUCCCUUCUAACCGAGAAAAGAUCAGCUGCGGCUCCGCUCAAAGCUCUUUCUAUCAAUCAAACUAUGGAAGGAUCAUUAUUCUGUGCUUCCCGCACUCUAUCAAUCAAAACUGGCCUCACAUGAAAACUGGCUACUAAAGCACCAACCUCAUCUACUGCUAAAUCCACCCUGUAGUUCGCAACUCACAAAGAAGCGGAACUUGAACCAUCUUUAUAUGAGAUAAAGAUAUGGAUGGAUUUCGACUAAGAGCAUCAGCUACCACAUUAGCUUUUCCAGGAUGAUACUCAAUAGUGCAAUCAUAAUCAUUGAUUAAUUCCAUCCACCUUCUCUGUCUCAUAUUUAGCUCUCUCUGAGUGAAUAUAUACCGAAGACUCUUGUGAUCGGUAAAAAUCUGACACUUGGCUCCAUACAGAUAGUGUCUCCACAACUUGAGAGCAAAAACUACUGCUGCAAGCUCCAGAUCAUGAGUAGGAUAAUUCCCCUCAUGCGGCUUCAAUUGCCUAGAAGCGUAGGCAAUAACUCGAUCAUGCUGCAUCAAAGCUCCACCUAGACCACUUCUAGAAGCGUCACAAUAGACCACAUACUCUCCACUAUCAUCCGGAAGUGCCAAAACAGGAGCACUUGUCAAGCAAUUCUUCAAUUCUUGAAAACUUUGCUCACAUUGAUCUGACCAUUCAAACUUAACCCCCUUCCUGGUCAAUCUUGUAAGAGGAGCAGCAAUCUUUGAAAAAUCUCUCACAAAACGCCGAUAAUAACCUGCCAAACCCAAGAAACUACGAAUCUCUGUCACAGUGGUGGGUCUUCUCUAAUUUGACACUACUUCCACCUUUUGGGAAUCCACACUAACUCCUUAUGCUGAAACCACAUGACCCAAAAACCCCACUUUAUCUAGCCAAAACUCACACUUGCUAAACUUAGCAUAUAACUGCGAAUUUUCCAAAGUCCGCAAUAUUAUUCUUAGAUGCUUGGCAUGCUCCUUCUCACUUCUUGAGUAAACCAAGAUGUCAUCUAUGAAUACGAUCACGAAACGAUCAAGAUAUGGACUAAACACCCUAUUCAUGAGAUCCAUGAACGCCGCGGGUGCAUUAGUAAGUCCAAAUGGCAUCACCACAAACUCAUAAUGACCAUAUCGUGACCGAAAAGCAGUCUUGGCUAUGUCCCCCUCUCGGAUCCGCAACAGAUGACAACCCGAUCUCAAAUCAAUCUUAGAGAAAACAGAGACACCCCUCAACUGAUCAAAUAAAUCAUCGAUCCGAGGCAAUGGAUAUUUAUUCUUCACUGUGACCUGAUUUAACUUCCUAUAGUCAAUGCAUAGUCUCAUGGUGCCAUCUUUCUUCUUAACAAACAACACCGGAGCACCACAUGGAGACAUGCUAGGCUGAAAAAAAACCCUUAUCUACCAACUCCUGCAAUUGAGUCUUCAACUCUUUCAAUUCCGCUGGAGCCAUUCUGUAAGGUGCCUGAGAGAUAGGCAUAGUUCCGGGAAGUAAUUUUAUAGAGAAGUCUAUCUCCCUUGCAGGAGGUAAACCAGGCAACUCUUCAGGAAAAACAUCCGAGAACUCCCUUACAACAGGAAUAUCUUCUAUUUCCAAGACUCCCAUACUUGAAUCCACCACAUGAGCUAAAUACGCCUGACAGCCUUUACUCAACAAUUUUCUUGCAGCAACAACGGAAAUUAUGCAACUAGAAAUAACAUCUCUUUCCCCUUGGAAAGCAACCUCAAAACCAUUUGGACUUCGAAGCACCACUACUUUUUGAAAACAAUCUACCAUAGCUCUAUAUGCUUCCAAAAAGUCUAUUCCCAAUAUCACAUCAAACUCCACUAUCUCUAAAGGAAUUAAAUCGGCCUUGAAAUUAAAUCCUUCCACUAAAACUUCACAACCACUAAACACCCAAUUUAUUCUCAUCACCUCAUCGAGGGUAGAGACACAUGCCACUCGCCUGGAAGAGACGAUGAUGGCACAUUGGCAUGGAGGGCAAAUCUACUAGACAUGAAUGAAUGCGUGGCUCCGGGAUCAAUUAAAGUAAAAGCAGGCUGACCAAAAAUUAAUAACGUACCAAUGAUGACAUCUAGAGAAGUACGACCCUCUUGCGGGGUCAUAGCAUGCAGUCUUGCGAGAGUCAUGGGACAUCCACGCUGAUCACCGCCCUGUUGAGAGCCACCUCUGACCGAAGCACUGCCCUAGGCACCACUACUAGAGCCUCUACCUGAAGACUGACCAACUGGCUGAGUAUGGGUGGGGGUGGUCCUCUGAGCCAACAAUGGGCAAUCUCUCUUGAAGUGGUCCUGACCACCACACUUAAAGCACCCAGAAAACUGCUGCUACCUAUAAGAAAAAGUCUGGCUACCGGAUGACCCACCAUGGAAGCUACCACCAGAACCAUACUGCCCAGACUGCUGCCUACCCAAAUGACUCCGAGAAGGUCUCCUAAAACGUCCUCUAUUCCUGUUCCAAGCACCAGAGCUCGAUCCCCCACUACUGCCACUACCAGCAGAAGACCCAGAAGCGGAUGAUGAAGCAGCCUUCUUGGAUGGACCCUGACUAGGGCCACUGAAAUCACGGGGCCGAGCACCCAUGGUUGCACCAAUUGCAUCCGUAAAGGUCGGGUAAAUUACCCCUGUCAUCUUGUCCGCAUACACCCCACCAAGUUCCCCAAUGAACAUCUCAAUCCUAGUCUUCUCAUCAGGAAUCAAAUAUGACACAUGGUAGCUUAGGGAAGUGAAUCUUUCCUGGAACUCUAUGAUACCCUCAUCAUCCCUCUUCGACAUAUGCAAGAAAUCCGACUGAAUUCUGCUGCGGUGGGCAUGAUUGAAAUACUGCCCCAAGAAGAGUCUUAAACUCCUCCCACGACAUAUUCAGUGCAUCCUCAACAUUCAUGCUGGCAAGCAACCACCAAUGAUGUGCUGAAUCAUCUAGAAAAGUCACUGCCAUCUUCACCUUUCUUUCUUCUGGCAACUCAGUGCUCGCAAAAGCAUUUUCCAUCUUGUCCACCCAAUUGUGAGCAUCAAGAGGUCCCUUGGCACCCUUGAACUCUCUGGCUCCAGCAUCAUAAACUUCUCUCCUUCUCACCGUAGGAGGGCGUGGAGCUCGAUCCAAGACAUCCCUCAGCAUAUUUCCAAUAUCAUCAACCAGUCCCCUGACCUCAUUGCCCUCAUCGGCAUUGGUCAAAGUAGACACACGGGGUUGCCGUGGGCGCCUAGGAGGCAUAGUACCUAAGGAAGAAGAUAUUUAGUAGUCCAUAAACAAGACUAACACAACUAUCACACAUACCCAAUAACACAUAGCAAUAAAAGCAUAAAAUGCCAAUGAAUCCGCCGCGGUCGGAUCAUCACUCUAUAGACACUACGUGCUACUUAGGCAAAUAUGAUAAUGACAAGGAAGCAGGAAAAGGAAACCUAAAGCUCUGAUACCAACUGACAAGACCCACCCCGAAUUUUACCUUAAAACCCAGAGUAAAUCCUGCGGGGACCACCUCCAAGAAAGAUAUUACCGAAAAUUCGGCAUAACCUCCCUUGAAAAUGGACAACCCUUCCUAAAGAAAACCUGCAAACACUCCCAAUAAAUUCAAUCCCACCUUAACUCCUGGAGCCUACGUGAUCCCUAAAUAUAACCACCACCAACAACAACACAACAUUAUCCAAACCUCAAUAUAAUUAUCCAAAAGAUAACAUAAAUCCUCUGACAAAUAUUCUAAAAUGUCAACAUGCCUUCGCUCACAACCGAAAUAAUAUUAUACAAUAUCCCCAAGGGAAAAUCAAAGCUACUAGACACUAGAGGAAGCAAGAAAAACACAGGUAGGUUAAUCAGGUAACCUACGAAUGAAAAGUGGUGGAAAAGUGGGUGAUUAUGUCUCGUCUCCUACUAGGUCCAACCUGUACUCUGUAGACUGGGCAUUUUAAAACGAAGGGCCCAAGGGAAAACAUUUAAUAACGUUAGCACUAUGCCAUUUCCUGCAUCAGGCAACACCUAUCAGGCGACACAUGUGAAAUUAAUUGUGGUUCGGGGUUUUGGGGCGACACAUUUUUUUUAUGUGUUGAUGGAAGUGUACUUAGACAAUACCAGUUUUCUUUGAAAAAAAUGUCUGUUUCCGGGGCGACACAUAUAUGUCGGUGAAGAAAGUGGUCAACUGUAGUCUCAAUUGUCUAAAUUUUACUCAUGUUAAUCCGAAGACAUUUAUGUGUCGGUUGAUAUUGAAUUUUGUUGAAUUGACAACUUGUGUGAAAAUUUUACUUCAUUAAGUUGAUACGAGACAUUUAUGUGUCGGCUGAUNNNNNNNNNNNNNNNNNNNNNNNNNNNNNNNNNNNNNNNNNNNNNNNNNNNNNNNNNNNNNNNNNNNNNNNNNNNNNNNNNNNNNNNNNNNNNNNNNNNNNNNNNNNNNNNNNNNNNNNNNNNNNNNNNNNNNNNNNNNNNNNNNNNNNNNNNNNNNNNNNNNNNNNNNNNNNNNNNNNNNNNNNNNNNNNNNNNNNNNNNNNNNNNNNNNNNNNNNNNNNNNNNNNNNNNNNNNNNNNNNNNNNNNNNNNNNNNNNNNNNNNNNNNNNNNNNNNNNNNNNNNNNNNNNNNNNNNNNNNNNNNNNNNNNNNNNNNNNNNNNNNNNNNNNNNNNNNNNNNNNNNNNNNNNNNNNNNNNNNNNNNNNNNNNNNNNNNNNNNNNNNNNNNNNNNNNNNNNNNNNNNNNNNNNNNNNNNNNNNNNNNNNNNNNNNNNNNNNNNNNNNNNNNNNNNNNNNNNNNNNNNNNNNNNNNNNNNNNNNNNNNNNNNNNNNNNNNNNNNNNNNNNNNNNNNNNNNNNNNNNNNNNNNNNNNNNNNNNNNNNNNNNNNNNNNNNNNNNNNNNNNNNNNNNNNNNNNNNNNNNNNNNNNNNNNNNNNNNNNNNNNNNNNNNNNNNNNNNNNNNNNNNNNNNNNNNNNNNNNNNNNNNNNNNNNNNNNNNNNNNNNNNNNNNNNNNNNNNNNNNNNNNNNNNNNNNNNNNNNNNNNNNNNNNNNNNNNNNNNNNNNNNNNNNNNNNNNNNNNNNNNNNNNNNNNNNNNNNNNNNNNNNNNNNNNNNNNNNNNNNNNNNNNNNNNNNNNNNNNNNNNNNNNNNNNNNNNNNNNNNNNNNNNNNNNNNNNNNAAGGUGCUUGUGGAGAAGUCAUCAAGUAGAAGAAGCUACUUGGGAAUCAGAGGAGCAAAUGAUGCAGCAGUAUCCGUAUCUCUUCGGAUGACAUGUAUAUUAAUUUCGAGGACGAAAUUUUUAUAAGGAGGGGAGAAUUGUCACAUCCCGACCCUUAUAUUUUUACUUUAUUUACUAGCCUGAUUAUAAUAAGAAUUUUACCGUCUCCGUCAUUGAGUAAAUAGUUUAAUUGGUCCCUAGAGGGGUUUCGGGGACGAUUAUGUGCGGUAGGAUUAUUCGUAUGAGGAAAAUACGACGACGGUAAAAAUGGUAAAUUUUAGCUAGUAAAAGGUAAUUUUUAUUCGGGUAUUAUUUUUCGGGGUGUUUUAUUUUUGGAAGAUUGGGUUAAGUGUUGUGGACCGGUUUGGGGUGAGGCCCAAAACCCUUUUUCUCUUCUCCCUCUCUCCCGAUUCUCUCUCCUCCCACCCGAUUUUCUCCUCUCUCCACCCGGAAAUUUCACCACCGCCGUCCGCCGCCGUCCGGCCACCACCGACCGCCAGACUGGUCCCGUUCGGACCCUUGCCUCUUCCUCUCUCAUCCUGGACCGGUGCACGCGCCCGGAACGCCGCCGUGAAGGAGCGGUCAACCCCGAAAGGUUCGACUGCCGGAAAGGGUCCUUCGCCGGAGCUCCGUCUUCUGGCCACCAUAGGUCGUGAUUUUUGGCUCAACUUGUAGCCCUCAUCUAGGUGAGUAAUCCCUCAAAAGGUUUCGGCUAAAUUCGAUUUCAUUAGGGAGGUUUGUUUAAUUGAAAGUUGUAGGGAUUUAUGGUUGUUUGUGUUCGAUCGACAUGGUUAGGCUUAGAAUUGGAGUUUGUGGUAGUUAGGAAUGUUGUAGAGGAGGUUGAGAGGAAGAUGCUGCCAAUUUUUGGUGAGCAUAGGAGGUCGCCGGAAAACGGCUGCCGGCCGCCGCCGGUUAGGAGAUUUUUAGGGUUUUAAAUGUGGAAUAUUAAGAGGAGUAUAUUGGUGUGAUUUAUGGAAUUUUUUGGAUGAGAUUUGGAUAGGUUUGUGAAUUUCCGAAGUUUGGUAUUUUUGGCGGUUAAUUAAUGUAGAAUCCGGCCGUAGGAUUUAAGUCGUAUUUUGGGGAGGUUGUAUUUACGACUGUUGAGUAUGAUAUUUAAGUUCGGAUCGUUCCGAUGUAAGAAUAUCGAAGUUAGGCAAUGAUGAGCGUAAUUAUGGCUCUCGGGUAAUUUUGCCUAUUUUGAUUAAAUAUUGGAUUAUUGGUUGGGAAUUAAUAUUAUAUUUGGAACAGGACGUGAGGAGGCUCGAGCAGACGAGACCCCAGAUCGACAUCAGGCUUAGGNNNNNNNNNNNNNNNNNNNNNNNNNNNNNNNNNNNNNNNNNNNNNNNNNNNNNNNNNNNNNNNNNNNNNNNNNNNNNNNNNNNNNNNNNNNNNNNNNNNNNNNNNNNNNNNNNNNNNNNNNNNNNNNNNNNNNNNNNNNNNNNNNNNNNNNNNNNNNNNNNNNNNNNNNNNNNNNNNNNNNNNNNNNNNNNNNNNNNNNNNNNNNNNNNNNNNNNNNNNNNNNNNNNNNNNNNNNNNNNNNNNNNNNNNNNNNNNNNNNNNNNNNNNNNNNNNNNNNNNNNNNNNNNNNNNNNNNNNNNNNNNNNNNNNNNNNNNNNNNNNNNNNNNNNNNNNNNNNNNNNNNNNNNNNNNNNNNNNNNNNNNNNNNNNNNNNNNNNNNNNNNNNNNNNNNNNNNNNNNNNNNNNNNNNNNNNNNNNNNNNNNNNNNNNNNNNNNNNNNNNNNNNNNNNNNNNNNNNNNNNNNNNNNNNNNNNNNNNNNNNNNNNNNNNNNNNNNNNNNNNNNNNNNNNNNNNNNNNNNNNNNNNNNNNNNNNNNNNNNNNNNNNNNNNNNNNNNNNNNNNNNNNNNNNNNNNNNNNNNNNNNNNNNNNNNNNNNNNNNNNNNNNNNNNNNNNNNNNNNNNNNNNNNNNNNNNNNNNNNNNNNNNNNNNNNNNNNNNNNNNNNNNNNNNNNNNNNNNNNNNNNNNNNNNNNNNNNNNNNNNNNNNNNNNNNNNNNNNNNNNNNNNNNNNNNNNNNNNNNNNNNNNNNNNNNNNNNNNNNNNNNNNNNNNNNNNNNNNNNNNNNNNNNNNNNNNNNNNNNNNNNNNNNNNNNNNNNNNNNNNNNNNNNNNNNNNNNNNNNNNNNNNNNNNNNNNNNNNNNNNNNNNNNNNNNNNNNNNNNNNNNNNNNNNNNNNNNNNNNNNNNNNNNNNNNNNNNNNNNNNNNNNNNNNNNNNNNNNNNNNNNNNNNNNNNNNNNNNNNNNNNNNNNNNNNNNNNNNNNNNNNNNAAAUUGCCCAGUCUGCAGAGUUCGGGUUGGAUCUAGUAGGAGACGAGGCAUAGUCACCCGCUAUUUCUGCCAGUUUUCGCCAGUAGGUUACCUGUUCAACCUACUCGUUGUUUUCUUGCUUCCGCUUAUGUUUAGUAGCUCUGAAUUACGUUUGGGAUUAUUGUAUAUUAUGUGAGGUUCGGAAGUGUUGAAUUAAGAGUGUAAUAUGAAAUUUUCGAGUUAGGGUUGUCCAUCUGCAAAGGAGAUUUUCUUAAUCUUUUCAGUAAAUUUUCCUUGGAGGUGGUCCCCGCACGACUUACUCUGGGUUUCAGGGUGAAAUUCGGGGUGGGUCGUGUCAACUUGUGUGAAAAUUUUAAUCAAUUAUGUUGAUAAGACAACAUUUAUGUGUUGGCUGAUAUUGAAUUUUAUCGAAUUAACAACUUGUGUGAAAAUUUUACUUAAUUAUGUUCAUAAGACAACAUUUAUCUGUUGGCUGAUACUGAAUUUUAUGGAAUUGACAACUUGUGUGAAAAUUUUAAUCAAUUAUGUUGAUAAGACAACAUUUAUGUGUUGGCUGAUAUUGAAAUUUAUCGAAUUAGCGUCUUGUGUGAAAAUUUUACUCAAUUAUGUUGAUAAGACGACAUUUAUGUGUUGGCUGAUAUUGAAUUUUAUCGAAUUAACAACUUGUGUGAAAAAUUUACUUAAUUAUGUUAAUAAGACAACAUUUAUGUGUUGGCUGAUAUCGAAGUUUAUCGAAUUGACAACUUAUGUGAAAAAUUUACUUAAUUAUGUUGAUAAGAACAUUUAUGUGUUGGGUGAUAAUGAAUUUUAUCGAAUUAACAACUUGUGUGAAAAAUUUACUUAAUUAUGUUGAUAAGACAACAUUUAUG